CAUAUAUAUAUAUACAUACACAUAUAUAUACAUAUACAAAAUCUUUCAAAAUGAGAUGUAUCAUAACUUGUAAGACUCAUGCUUUAUGUAUAAACACUUCAUGUCUUAAAACUUUCAUUUUUCUUGAGAAUUCGGUUUUGCUUCAAAUUGAAACUUUUCAGCCAAUCCUUUAUUUGCAUGCACUUUGGCUCAUGAUGCUCAUAAAAAGCUAUGAUAUUUAGAGUUGCACAAUAUGCAAUUUUUUUGUAAACAUCGACUUCAUCUCGGUUCCAGUAUUUUCCAUCCAAGAUAUAGAUAAUGGAGAUAUCUAUAUUCAUAUCUUUGAGGUACAUACAGCUCUUCUUAAACACAUUAAUUGUUUCUCUUGGUGGUUCGUCUGGAAUAAUCUUAACCUCAAUUUGACCAUCUUGAUAUAUAGCUCCAUUUCACUUUUAAGGAUUUGUUUCUUUCGAACCGUAUGGUCUAUCCUGCUUAAUGCACGGUGUAGACACAUUUGUAGUGAGAGAUUGCUCAAUAUUGCUAUCAUAUUUAUUGGAGCAUUUUCCAGUUGGCACAUGAGAGCUUUCCUUAAUUUGGGUCAGUAAAGUGUCAGGCAGAUGAUGAAUUACAUACUUUUGAACUUCAAGUUCACAUUGGCUAGUGCGAGGAUCGAAAUGAUAUGAUGAUUAUUCAUCUAAUCUUUGUGCCAAUCUUUGAUUAUCUCCCCAUAACGUUGAAAAUUAUGAUUAUAUAGAGAUGAUAAAUGUGACACCCCAAUUUCGGGUUGAUAGUUGAUUCUGGGUUUUAAUCUGAAUUCUGGAAUUUUGAGAUCGGCUGAUGAAUGGACAAUCACAUGUGUGACCAUCAUGUCUGUCAUGGGUGUGGUUGCUAGAUAAACCAUGAUUGUGGUCAGCAAUCAAUCACGUGUGUGACCAUCUAGAUAUCUUUUGCCAAAGACUUCGUGAGACUAUCGACAGUUUGAUCUUUCGUUGAUAUGUAAACCACAUGUAGCUGUCCAAUAGUAACCCAUUCAUGGACGAAAUGAAAAUCAAUUUCAAAAUGCUUGGAUCGAGCAUGGAAAACUAGGUUUUUCAUCAAGUAAGUGGCAUUGAUGUUAUCACACCAUAUUGUAGGAGGAGAAAUGCAUGGUUGGCAAAUUUCAUUCAACAGAAACAGUAACCAAAUCACUUUGUAUGCGGAGGUGGCUAGCGCCCUAUACUUGUUUCGGUAGAUGAGCGUGAGACUGUAUGCUGCUUCCAACUAUAUGGCAUUAUUACGAAGAUAAAUAACGUAAGCACUAGUCAUCCAUCGAUCCAAAUCAUCACCUGCCCAAUCAACAUCGAUAUAGACAGUGAAAUGAUGGGAUUGAGUGGGCGAAAUAACAAUACCAUGGGUGGAGUCCCGCGGAGACAGCGUAAACCACGUUUCAGUUGGGUCCAAUGCGUCUCAAUUGGAUUGUGCGUAGAUAGAUGGUUGGUUGUGAACACCAAAUUUGGACGUAUCAUCUGAAGAUAUUGCAAGCCACCUAGAAAUUGGAGAAAAAUGUUGACUGGGCAAAAGGUUUGGGAUCCAUGUCUUGCGUCGGUUUGAGCAUAGGAGAUGACACCGGUUUGGACAUGUCAAGGCCGAUCUUUAGCAACAACUCCUCGAUAUAUUUGGUCUGGGAAAGAUGAAGCACGUCGGUCAUACAUUCAACUUCAAUGCCAAGAAAAUAGGACAAGGGGCCUAGAUCCUUGAGCUGAAAACGUUGCACAAGUUGAGUGAUGAGACUGUUAAUGAGAGCCGAGUUUACACAGUGAUGAUGAUAUCAUCUACGUAAACAAGCACAAACAUAAGAGUUUCGUCAGUUAUAUAAAAGAAAGAGUGAUCGGUUUUGAACCUUUGCAGCCGUGAUCAUGGAGAGUAUCAUGAAGCGAGAAACUUGAUGGAGGCCGUAGAGAGCCUUUUUAGACGAAAAACAAGAUUCAGAAACUGCGGGUCGACAAAUAGUGGUUGUACCAUGUACCAGAAAUUGGAUUCCGCUUGAUUUUGUAGACCAUUUAUUCUCAACUAGUCGUUGGGUCAUUGUUUGCGGGAUGAGGUACCACGUGGCAUUAAUACUGAAGAGCUGUGAAUUCCGUGGUCAUUGCUUGACACCAAUGAGCGAUGGGAUUCAUUUUCAUGAAACAAGUUGGCUCAUAAUGAACAUCGAGUGCAACGGUAGCGGAAAAUCGGCGAGGCUUUAGUUUUCCUAUCUUAGAAAAAGUCACCAUGCGUGUAGGUUAUGGAUCAGGGUUGUUGGGAUGAGGUGAGGAUGGAGGAACAAUGGCUUGCAUUGUAACAAGGGGGUUGGAGUUUACGUUGAGGUUAUGAGAGGGAAAUGGGGUAGGUAGAGUGGAAGUGGAAGGUGGAUGUAUGGUAGUUGUAAUUGUAGUACAUGACAUGAUUCAGGUUGGGUGGAUGAUGUAGAAGAUAGGUCGAUCAAUCUGGUAACGAGGGCACCUGAAAAGGAAAAAUGGAUUCGUCAAAUAGAACAUGACGAGACACUUGUAUUUUGUGAGUAUCCGAGUUUAAACAAUAGUAACCUUUAUGCUCAAGACUGUAUCCUAAAAACAUAGAAGGGACAGAUUUAAAAGCCAAUUUAUGAGGAGCAUAAGGCUUAAGCCAAGGAAAACUAGGACAUCCAAAACGUCUCAACAAUUUAUAAUCUGGAGUAAUGCAAAACAAGGUUUGAUACGGUGUCUCAAAAUUAAUAGACGAAAAUGGUAAUCGAUUAGCUAAGUAAGUAGCCGUGCUAAAAGCAUACGUCUAGUAAGAUAACGAAAUAGAUGAUUGGUGAAUAAGGAUGUGACCCAGUUCUGAAAUAUGUCGGUAUUUCCUCUCUAAACAUCUAUUUUGCUAUGGGGUGUGAGGACACAACCGUUGGAAAAUAAUACCCUGUUGAGAAAAAUAAGAAGCCAUUUGUUAUACUCCCCCACCAUCUGCAUGAAAGGAUCGCAUAGGUCGAGCAAAAUAAGUUUCGACCAUAGUACUCAAAUGAAUGAAUACUGAAAGAAAAUCGAAACAACAUCGAACAAUAUAUAUCUAACUAUACUUGAUGUAGUGAUCAAAGAAAAGCAUAUAAUAACGUUGAUUAUCAAUGGAAUCAACAGGUGAUGGUCCCCAAACAUCACUAAAACUCAAGUCAAACGGUCCAUUCACUUAUAAGAGAAAAUGAGAAAAGGCUAUUUAUGCAUCUUGCCAACACAAAAUUCAUGAAAUAUAGAGUUUAGACACUUAUUGGAGAAAGGUAAUAAAUUACGUCUAAGAAUACGUUUAACACUAUCCAAGUUUGCGUGUCCCAACUUCCGAUGCCAUUGAGAUAACGAAUGGAAGUGAACUUGCGGGUGUGUAUGGCUAGUAGAAAAAAUGGCCAUCAAGAUGGGAUAGAGACCAUCCUUACUUAGCCUAAAAUAGGAUUUCACAGUGCUUAAAGUCCUGAAUAAACACCCAAUCAUGUAAGAACAAUUUCUGAUCUCACGAGUUAAAGCACUAAUAGAUAACAAAUUCUUACACGACUUAGGCACACACAAUAUAUCAUUGAGAGUAACAGAUGAAUCAUGUAAACGAACAAUUGAGGAACCAGAGUGAGAGAUAGGAAUGAUGACACUCCAUUUGUCAGGUUCAUCGCCCUCAUUUAAGCAACAUUUCAUGCAUACUCGUAUAGUUUUGGGUAGAAGUUUAGGUUUUUCCGUACAUUUCUAACAUCUAUCUCGAUUUAAUGUCUCAGACAAGUUCGGGGGUCCAUUUUGAUGUUGUUUUCUAGUGUUUUUGACCGAUUUCAGGAACACGGUGAGAUCGGGGCAUUAUUUGGAUUGGUAUGAUGUGCAAGGAGUAGCUGGAUGCAUCAAAGAAUGGAAAAAUCACCGAAUUGGCGUUGAAACAAAAAAUGUGCCUAACCUAUACCAAAAGUGCUCAGCGCACUUUUGGUCCGUUAGGGCACACUUUUGGUCUUAAAUAAAACUUCAGGUCUCUCACAUUUAUACAAAAAAUGCACUUUAAAUAUACCGAAAGUUUGCGGCACACUUUUGGUAUCCGACAAGCAAAAGGAAAUGCCUAUAUAAAAGCCCACAUCAACCCCAUUUUGAGACCUUUUUUUGAACAAAAUUUAGAGAUUCGAGUGCGACGAAAAAGCAACUUUAAGGAGCCCAGGAUCGGAAUUUUUCAGUCAUUUGUGAAUUAGAAUUGCCUAGGGGGAUUCGAUAUCUAAGCAGAUUCAUAUUUGAUUGUCUAAACUGUUAUCGUGCAGUCUUGGAACACAUUUACUUUAAAGUAAUUUUCAUCUUUCAUUUUGAUUUUUUGAUUGAUCCUCGUGGCACCUAAACCACAUUACUUGUUUCCUCGAUUGAUAUUAACUACAACUUUGAGUAAGAUACUAAAAGAGACCCUAGGGAGAUUUGACUCUGUUAAUUUAUUAACCGGUUUAUUUUGAGAACGCCUAAAAACGUUCAUCAAGGAACGUGGUUACUAUCACUGAGUGGAACUUUCUCGGUGCCAUGGUAUUUAGAGUAAAGUGCAAGGUUGUUUAGGUCAUUGGUUAGGUGGUGGGUGGCUCCAGAGUCAAGGGUCCAGGCGUUGGUGGUGGGCUAAGUAAGGGAGGUUCUAAAGUAAGCUUGAGGAUCGGUGACUUGCUGACGAGGAGAGGGGCAAAGUCGUUGAUACCCUAAAUCGUUGAAUUAUAACACGUUAUCGGUCAAGCCCCUAUAAAUGAGGAGUACAGUGUGGCCGGCUGCGGAGAAGACUGUUGCCCAUGUCCACCGUUUAAUUAGCCACAUCCAUAGUGAGAAAAAAAUUGUUGGCCAUGUCUUGGGUUUGAGUAGCCACGAUCGCGGCCAGUUCCAAUUCCUCCCAAACGUGCAACCCAUUGAGUUUCGAAAAUGCAAUGGUGCCAGUCUGAUUGUGUAUAGAACGAAUGAGAGGACGAUACAUCAGCGUCAAGCCAUGAAUCACGUAUUGACCAAGAUCUGCAUCAGCAACGGAAACACAUGUACACGAUCAGAAAAAAGCUUGGCUUUCUGUAAAUACGCACUAACAGUAUCGUUAUUUAAACAUAAAUCAAGCAAUUGAGUUUUAAGUAACCUAAUCAGAGAGGGACUUCCAGAGCCGAAAGCCUUCGCGAGUGUGGACCAAGCUUGAGCGGCUGACUUAACUUCAACGAGCAUAUGAACGACAAAUGAUGAGAGAGAACGGAUCAACCAACCAACGGCAGAUUGGUCUUAGUGGUACCACUUUGCGUAGGCUUGAUUUGUUCACUGGACGCAACAGUGGCAUCCUAGGCCUUCGAGGUGCCAUCGACGUGUCUGAGAAAGUCAUGACCGACAAGUGUUGGAUCUAUCUGUGGCUUCCAUAGUAAAUAAUUGGUGGAGUCUAACUUGAUUGUGACUGCAGUGGAUGACAAAGAAGAAGAGAGAGAGACAUACGCCAUUGUUGUGGCGUGGAAAGGCAUAUAUCAUAAUAGAAUAGGGUUGGUAUAUUUACCCACACCCAACCAUGUGUUAUAUGGUAUGUAUUUAUAGGAAUAUAAUAGUACAUAAGUGAUUAAAUAAGAUCGGAAACAUAACUAGAAAAUAUUAUAAAGAUAAAUACGGGUACAUUAGAAUUAUACAAAUCAUAUCAAAUCAAGAUUGAUCAGUGUCCUUAUCCAAUGUCACAGAUUAGGGGAACUUUCAAAAGUUAUAAACGUACAACCGCAAUUGUUAUACCCAUCCACAUAAAAGGUUCCUGAUAGGAAUAAUUUGCUUCAACAUAAUGUGACAUGUGGGGCGUUAUACGUUCACUUUGUGGUUAAAAUAUCAUUUGAACUAUGAUCAUCAAAAUAAAGCUGAUGGUUAGGUUUGGACAACUUGUAUCUCUUGACACUCUUUUUUAGCACUUCACGAGAUAAUGACGAUUAAAUAUCAAAGCUAUGGCUUUGUCUUAAUAAGAUGUUGUAUUAUCGUUUUUGAUUGUUUUACUAAGACAAUUAUAAAUUAAUUUUAACUUUCAAUGCUCAUGAAGGGUAAUGACACCUCAUUUUUGACCUCAUCAAGGUGAUGGCAAAUAAAGAUUAAAGUCAUUGUUUUGUCUUGAUAAAAUACUUGAUGGCGUUUUUUACAUCUCCAUAUAAGAGUUUGUGCAUCCAACCAAGAUAGAUGACUCUAUAUAAUAAAUAAUGAGUCUGACAAUAAGAAUAUGGAGAAUAUUAACCUCAAACUACAAACUUUGAACAGAAAACAUAAAACGUCGGCAAAAUAAAAUAGUUAAAGAAAUAGAGUAUAUCAUAUUAUAAACGUAAUGAUAUGCUCGUAUGAAGAAUAAUAGCAAAAAACAGUUCUAAUAUUAAGAUAGUAUAUAGGAGACAAUAAAGUACAAGAUAAUGAACCAAUGCAAUCGAGUAACUGUCAUAUAAAACCAUAAGCGAAUAAUAGGCAUUUAGAUAAUAAUAGUAUAUUAACCUCUAAAGUCUAAUGGCUUUACAAAUGACGAAUUCAUGGCCAAAAUAAUAAUACUGACCACGGCAAUGUAACGUUAACAAUAGUUAUGAUAUUAAUAAUGAAAUAGAGAUGCCGUAAAAGAAUAGAACAAAACACUAAUAUUCUCACCUUUAAGGGUCUUUGUCAGGGUGACCCCUUGUAUUUUCUACUGUUCACACUCUAUUCUGAAGGGCUAACUCGUUGGAUUGAUAUCCAUUUGCGUGACAGAAUGUUGCACGGCAUUCAGGUCCCCUGACACGCACCAGUUAUUUCCCAUCUAAUGUUUGCGAAUGACACGAUCCUGUUCCUACAGGUCUCGACCCCCAUUAUUGGGAGAAUUCGUAAUUUGUUCCACCGCUACGAAAAAUUAAGCGGCUAGCAUGUUAACUUCCUCAAAUCCUCCGUCCGCUUUAGUUCUAAUGUGUCUCCAAGCCUCCUGGUCUGCUUGGUACACCUAGAGCCACAGACUCUGACCGGUAUAUGGGCCUCCCAUCAAUUGUUCUUAAUUCCAAAGUCCUCACAUCUUCUUUUCUCGAAGGUCAAGUCUCUCAACGACUACAGACUUUGAAACGGGACUCGCUCUCACCGGCAGGUGUUCAUGCACUUAUCCGCUCAGUGAUUGUUGGACUCCCAAUCUACGCUAUGUCCUGCUUUUGCCUACCUAAUGAGUUGUGUUGUGGGGUCAACAAACAAAUGAUCAGUGUUUGGUAGGGUAAUGUUAGGGACUGGCGCCCUGUCCACUGGAUCCCCUGGCAAGAGCUUUACAUGGCCCAAGCAAAUGGCGGACUUGGCUUCCAUAAUUUCAAGACAGUCAAUCAAGCCUUACUUGCUAAUUAGUGCUGACGCAUUCUUGAGUCUCCAAAGGGUCUCCUUGCACUGGUAUUGCGCGUCCGAUACUUCCCCUUCUAUCAAUUCCUGGACGUGGCUACGGGUGACCGUCCUUCUUGGGAAUGGUAGAGUCUUCUCCAUGGUCAUGACCUUCUUCUUCAAGGUCUCCGAUGGCAGGUGAGCAACAGGCUCUCCAUUCCCACUCUCCGAUAACCCUGUGUUCCUGGCCCUGAUCCUAGACACCCCAUACCUCGUAUGCCUCUUCCUUACGCUGGACCCUAUCUUAUCAGUGAUCUAAUCAUCGAUGGAAAAUGGCAUGUUGACAUCCUCCACACCCAUUUCACUCCGGCUACAUUCUCUCGUAUCUUAUCUAUUCCCCUACCUCUCUCCCCACAAGAUGAUUGAUGGAUUUGGCACUACUCCACUAAUGGUAUCUUUUCUACAUCCUCUCCCUUCCUCAUGGACCAACGUUCUGUGCCAUAUGACUAAAGUCCCUCAACUGCCGCCUUGGGUUCUAAGAUAUGACAUUCGGUUUGGCAUUUGCCUGUCUUUCUGGGAUUACGGUUCUUUCUCUGGAGGCUCUUUUAUUGGAUUAUUCCAAUAGGAGAGGCUCUUGUACAACAUCACGUCCCUCUUACUGACGUCCAAUGCUCGGUUUGUUGGGAUCAAGAAGAGAUAGUUGAACUCCUUCUUUUAGAGUUCCCGGUCGCGGUCCGGAUCACUUCUCUUCCCGGGUUACAGAUUUUUGGUUUAGUCUCGCUUCACCUAUCCCCUAUCUAAAAGGACCUAAUUCUAUCCCACCAACAUUUGGGUUCGAUUUACACGCUUCUGUGGUGGAGAUUAUGGAGAGGUCGUAAUCUGGUGGUAAAGAUUACACAGCUCCAGCCAGAGGUUCUUGUCCGGUAAUUCCUUCGACAUCCGACUGAGCUCUCUCUUCUUCCUUAGUCAACUGCCAUUAUCGCCGCACCCCCAGGAUGGCUAUUCAGUCCUUGUGGGAUCACCCACUACCCUCCCCCCUGCCCGCAUUAAGAUUAAUGUGGAUGAGACUGUGGCAGAUUCUUGCGGUGGCGCGGUGGGUCUGGUUGUUAGGAACGCUUCAAGUUUGGUGUUACAAGAGAUUGGGAGGACUUAUCCAGGGUUCUUGGAUCCUUAUGUCUUGUAGCUUGUGGCCGUCCAUGAUGCUUGUGCCUGGUGCUUCCGAGUUGGGGUCUAGCAGGUGGAUAUUGAAGGCGACACUGAGACAGUUCUCUCUCGACUUUCACGUCAUUGCUCUCGUUGUGUUGCUAGUGGUGUUAUCAUUUCAUAGAUUCUUUCCUUCCUAAAGGCCUGUCCUCACAUCCGUGUUUUGGUGGUCCCCCGCAACCGCCAACCGAGAUGCCCAUAUAAUGGCCGCCAAUCUCUCUUUAUCUCCCAGGUCGUGUGGAGACCGAUCUCACGUCACGGGCUGAUGCUUAAUUUUUUUUAUGUUGCUUGCUAUAUUGUUCCUCCUCCUCUUCUGAAGCUAACUAUGAUAAAAAAAUGAGGCAACAACAAUAUGAAAUAAUAUAAUCAUUCAUCAUAACAAAACAUUAACAGCAUAUUAAAACAAACCACAACCAUAUAACACCCAUCAUAUAAUGAGUAUAUUAUAACUUUAGUUUGUACGAAGAAACACAAAUACUACAAUUUCACAUGAAUUAAGGCAUAUGAUAUAUAAAAUAAUUGGUAGCACAAGAGCAAAAUGAAUCAAUGUAUGUACACAUACAUAACAACAAGCUGGUAAUGGAUAAAACAAGAUCAACAUAAUAAAAGAGAAAUACAGUAGCUAGUUAGAAAAACAAACUCAAUGUUAAUGGGUUUUCUAAAAAUGUGAAGACGGAUAAAAUGUGACCCAGCCGAAUAAAAAAAGGACACAACACAAAAAAAGAAGAAAGAAGUUUGAUUAAACACGUAUAAAAUUAUCAAUGGCAAUAGCAAUUUGAAAACAUAUCGUACUAAAAUGAAACUGAAAAAUACAAAAAUGGUAAUAUUAGAAACCGUCAACAUAAUCAAAUCAUAGAAGCAUCUUCCCACGAAGAUAGCAUGAAAAAAAUGCUAGAUAUAACUUGAAAAAUCGAGUCUGAUAUGCAAAGAUAGACUUUACCUCAAACUUUGAGAUGGUAAAGCAAUCCUGCUAAUAACGUGUUAAGAAACUAAGAAAGAAGAAUCACAUAUGAAUAUGAGAGAGGAGAAUGUAUCUUAUUAAGAUAUGAAGAUUGAUACAAAUUAAAGUUUUAUUUAUAGACGCAUGAAAUCAUAACUUAUACAUUCUCCAUUAUUACAAUUAAGGUGAGUAAUGAAAUAAACAUCAAUGAGUCGAAAUUAAAAAAUAAACAUUCAACCAUAUUAAUGAAAAUAUUCAUAACAAUGAUCCAUUUUUUUCCUUCUUAAGAAAACCCUUCAUACUAAUGUGGUUGACUCACUCUUUUAAACUAAAUAAUCUUACCGCUAAUUUAUCAAUAUGACACUCCAAUUGUUUACCUCAUAUCAAAUGAAAAUGAAGAUGUAGAGGGUAGCACCCGGUCUGACAGAACCGCUGAGAAGCAUGAGAAGGCUUCUCCUUUUAUUUCAACGUUGUCGUCGUAGUGUUAGCUUAAUUAUUAUUGUUCUUAGGCAAUAAUGAAAGGACACUUGUCCCCUAUCAACUAAACCACAUUGAAAUAAUCCUAUUGCAGUUUCCGCUUCAUUCAUUUAUGCAAUUCCUUAGUUCCAGUAUCUCCAAAAUGAUAUCAAAGCAUACAAAGUAGAAACUCUACAACAUCAACAUCAGCAUGGUCGACGAUGAUGUCCACACACCAUUGGGGGCAACGAUGAUGGAUCAGGAUCUCGGGGACGCAGUUCCGGCUUUACUUUGGAACCUUCAUUCUAAAUGGUAACACCAACUCUGAACGCACUUUUGGAAAUUUGUACUACCUGAAUCCAAAUAAGAAGUUGUCACAAUCCAUUGUUACGAUUGUUCUUGAUGGAAGUAACUACGAUGUGUGGAGUCGAUCAGUGCGCUUUGCGCUCAACACGAAGCACAAAUUGGGAUUCAUUGAUGGAACCUUGCUUCCUCCUCUCAACGACCAACAUCAAGUUCGCUCAAUUGGAUGCAUGGAAUACAAUGGUUCUAUGUUGGGCCAGCAAGUCGUUGCAUCCUGAGAUUCGCAGAAGUGUGCUAAAUCAUGAGAAUUCUUGCAUCUUGUGGGCUGAGCUGAAGCGAUGAUUUGGACAAGACAAAAGCCUCAAAAUCACUAACAGGGAUCUCUCUAUGUCACUGGAUACUACAUUCCGAUUAAGGGUUUGUGGGAGAAAUAUAGUCAAUUCUCUCUUGUAGUCCCAUGCAAUUGUGUUCCUGUUAAGCUAGCUCCUUGCCCUGUAUUCACCCGCGUUCAGGUUAAACAUGUUAUCGAUUAUUGAGAGGUUCAUUCGGUUCUUGAGAGGUUUGAAUGCCGAUUUUGAUGUUGUGAAAACUCAAUUCCUAAUAAUGAAGCCCUUAUCUUUAGUGAUUGUUUCGUAUGAUAGUGUGCUACAACACGAAGAGAACCUAAAAGGAGGCAUCACAAUAGACAAAAACGAUGCUAACUCACCAGCCGGUUUUACAGUGAUGCAUGUUAAAACAGCUAGAACGAUGCAUGUUAAGACCGCUCAGGCAGCCUUCACUCCAUGUAAUGAUGCAUCUGGGAGUGGCAAAAACAAGAUAUGUCACUAUUCCAAGAAAGAAAACCAUCUCAUAGACGAUUGUAAGAAGCUGAUGAACAUUUUUAGGCGUUAUCAAACUAAUGAAUUAACUGGAGUCGAAUCUUCCUAGGGUCUCUUUCAAUAUUUUACUCCAAGUUUAGAAAAGUAUGAAUUAAAGUAUCAAUGAAUGUGAUUUAGGUGCUACGAGCAUCAUACAAUCAAAGUGAACAAUGAAAAUUUCUUUAAAGUAAAUGCUUUCCAAGACUGCACGAUAUAAGGUUUUAGACAAUUAGAGAUGAAACUACUUAGAUGUCGAAUUCUCCUAGGCAAUUCAAAUUCACAAAUGACAAACAAAUUCCACGAUUUAAACGAAAUAAGAUAAAUUCAAUAAACUAUCGUAAUUCUUCUCUAAUCAAAUCACGCCCUUUUGGGACCGCUAAUUUGCUACCUAUCUAGUAUCCCAGUCCGCUCUUUUGAGACGAAGAUCUGAAAACCCGCUAGGCGAUCUAUCGAAUUAGAAUUGCUCAUACGGAAGACUAGUUCGUUUGCUCCCGGAUGAGGGUUAACCUCUAAUAUAGUUGUUUGAGUCCGAUGUUCUAGAUAUGCAAGCUCUUGCGAGUUUUAAGACAAAUCUAACAGAGAUUCAUUCAAGAUGAUCAGGCAAGAUCAAAUCGAAAACGAAAUCGAACAUGUAUUGAAAUCCAACCAACUUGUAUAAAUCGCCAAGUGUAUCAAAUUAGUCGUUCAUAUGACUUAACCUAGGGUUCAUCUAAUCUAAGCAAGAGAAGUUUAAAUGCUCAUGGUUUUAGAAGACAAAUCCAAAUUAGAAGAAGAAAUCAUUGAAUCUAGGUUUACACAAGAAACUAUGAAGAACUUAAUUUCACCGAUCUUCCCGAGAACUUGAUUUACCGUCUUAAUCCUUCUGCCAAUUUUGAGCUCCUUGAAGUUGACUUCCCGUCGCUCUCAAAUCUCUCACUAAUGCUCUCAAUUUCAUACUCGGAAGUCUGACUGAGAAUUGGAUCCAAUUGGGCUUUUUAGAGGCGCUUCCUUAGGACCGAGGACUACCAAAAGUACGCCAUAGACAAACCAAAAGUGCGCCGCACACUGUGGAUAUUUCUUAGGAUCACAUUUGGUCUAAAUGGCAAAGACCUGAACUUCGAUUAAUGACCAAAAGUGCGCUAUAACCAACCAAAAGUGCGCUUAGCACUUUUGGUAUGGCUUAGGCGCACUUUCGGUUUAACACCUGAACUUUGUGGGUUUUCCAUUCUUCGAUGCAUCUAACUCCUCCUUGCACAUCAUAAAUUUUCGAAUAAUGCCCCGAUGUCACUAUGUACCUGAAAUCGAUAAAAACACUGCGAAACAAUAUCAAAUGGACCUCAAUGCAACCCUAAAUUGCUUGAUAAACAAAUGAACCUUUAAACAAACAGAAUUAGGAGAUAAAGGCCUCACCAGCAAUUCUCCAACUUGCCACACAUCAUCAUACAUGUUACACUAAACACCUCCACUUACUCUCAAUGGAAAUCGGUUUAAAGAUGAAACCAAUAAUGAAAUCUCACAGUGUUUUAAGGACAUUGCUUAUGCGCUCAUCAUCAACUCUGAAGUGCGCUUCCAACACUUGCAUUAAAAUUUACACAUACUCAUCACAUCAAGGGCACUAAUCUAGGGGUCUAAAUAACUUUGUAAUGUGGACGGAAAACGAAGAGAAUGUGAAAUGACUUUUGAUGGUGAGUGUAUAUAGCGGCCAGCGACUUGGUAUACUCUAAUAUGAAGCUAAGAUACAAAUCACAAAAAAUGUUAUGCAAGGAGAAAAUUCUACCAAGAGCUUAAAAUUAGCUCGUAUAUCCCUUAAUCUAACUACUACUUGAAGCUUAUUUGAACGUUCCUUCAUUUAACUCGAGACCUUUUGGUCUUCUUUAAUUUUUUAAUAUUUCUAGGUUCUUUUUACUUCUCUCCUUCCUUUUUUCGAGAGUUUCAAAAUUUUCUGUUUUCUCAUAUUUUCGAGUUUUCGACAAUGUAUCCCAACAAUCAAGGGAAACUAUAUAAUCCUGCUUUAAAUUCAAUUCAAUAACUUUAUCAAGUCCUAGACUCGACCGAGUUACAUGUCACUAAUGUACACAUUAUCAAAUAAAGGCUUGAAAGAAAAGGGGAUACAAUAUUAUGGGGGUACAAAAAAAGUCGUUUGGUUAUGAUUGGUUUACCUAGGGGAAAUGUAAGGACGGAAUGGAUGUUUUGUGGUGGAGGUUUUCUAAUUGCCUCUAUCAUUCUAGUGAAUCGGAGCCGAGUGAAUUCAGGUUGGUAUCAUGAAAGUAUCAGAUUAACAGCAAUAGAGAAGACCACUCAAACUAAUUUAAGAACAAAUCUACUAAUGAAGUAGAUUAUCUACACUACAAAAUGGUCUUUUAAACCUCACAAAAUUUUGAUAGAUGGUAACUCAGUAACAUGCAUGUCUAGUCACAUCAAGUUGGAGAGUUAGUGCUAGUUUAAACAUAUCAAAGUAACUCUAAAGAACGAAUCAAUAGACUUUGAUCAUUGCCCAAUACUCCUAUCAAAUCUAGGUUCACAAGUAAUUCAGCAAUUCAAGUGCAUAAAUCACAGGGAAAUUUUCCGAGCAUGCCAAGUAAUUGAUUUAAAUAUGGUUCCAACAAGCUUGAGAUUUGGACUAAUAUGCAAGAUGACUACCCAACAAGACUAGCAUACACAAAUCCUAUGCAAAACCACCCCACACUUAGUAUGGAUAGUGUCCUCACUGAAUGAAAUGAAAAGUUGCAAAGGAAAACCUGGAUGCUAAUAGAAAUCCAAGAGACUCGAUACAUGAUCGAUGAAGUUCAAAUUUUGGCGGCCAACUCUGUCCUGAAACAUAAUCACACACACAAAACCAAAAAUAAAAGUAAAAAGGGAUCAUGAGAAGUGUCCAAGUCCCAUACGUAAUAAAGUGGAUACAUCAUCCGAAAAGAAAGAAAGAAAUAACUAAAGAUAGAACGAUGUUAGUCAAUCAGUGUUCCUCUAGAGGAGGGCAGGGUGGAAGGUAGUACGAUCUAGUCUGGAGGUAGGAGAAAUGCUUGAGAUAGCGCAUCUGCUCCUCAUGGUGCUACUGCUCCCUCCUCUGCUGCUCUGCAAAGAAGCGUCUUUGGGUAUACUGCCAACUUAGCCAGCUUACUGUCCUGAUGAGCCUUCCAUGAAGACUGCCCUCCCCAAAAAAUGGCUGCCACUACUGAAUCGACUCCAAACUCGCCCAUGAAGUCCGUUGAAAUCGAGUGUGCUGCUAAACUGGGGGAGGCAGCCGAAAACCUUGCACCUCAUACAUCUCCUGAUUUUCCUCCUCUAUCUCAUCUGCCUGCUCUCCAGCUCCACGCCUGCGACCUCAUCCAUGUCCCUACAUCUUAGCUCUCUGUGCCAAUGGGUAGCCCCACCAAGUAUAGUAAUACCUGAUAGAAGCCGGAUCCAAGGAAAUGACCACUACAAGGAAGACAGUUUUUGGUAGGGGUUAUAAAGUCAGUUAACACCGGUUUAAACCCCUUCCAAAUGGUGUAACAACGGUUUUAAGUCUGCUGUUAAAUGAAGCAAUGUUAAGCCAUUUAACAUCGGUUUUGUGGGUUCCGCUGUUGAACGCAAUUUAACAGCGGAUUACAACCCCUGUUAAACUGGGCCUCGUUUAACAGCAGAUCGCAACCGUUGUUAAACUGGGCCUCGUUUAAUAAUAGAUUUAAAGCCCUGAUAAACUGGGCCUCACUUAACGGCAGAUCUAAACCAUUGUUAAACAACAUUUAUAUAAACCAAAUUCUGCUUCCAGUUUUCCUAAUGGUUAUGUUUUCAAAAUUCUUAAUUUGUUAAUUGCCGUUUCAAUCUCAACAUUCACAUAAAACUGAAAUAUAACAGAAAACGUUUUAUAUCUUAGAACUCAAGAAUUUAAUUUAAACAAAGUACUUCAUCCAUUAGUACACAAAAAAGAUAAACACGAUCUAGUACGUACUUAGUCUUUAAACGAUAGCUAGCUAACACUAGUCCUCCAUAUCAUCAUCACAGUCAUUGUCCUCGGUAGAGGAAAUCAGAGCAUUGUAUUCUUUUUGCUUUUCACUUGAUCCACUAUCAUCACUAAAAGAAGAGUGUGAUGCCGUGUCAAACUUACCUGCAGAAGCUGUAGGCAUCAAUCCACCUUGGUUAUUCCCCUGUAGAAAAUCGAUGGAACUACUCCAUCGGCAAACUAUCCAUGGACCUAGAGGACGAUGUAUACCUUUGUGAGCUAUAGCUAUCAAAGACGUACAAAACAAGAACAAGAUUACCUAAUUUUACAAAAAUUUCGGCAUGACUAAUCUAUAAGUACAACUACCACAUACCCUUCAAACUGCAUAAUCAACAUAUUCUAACACAUUUCUACACUACAUUUCUAAUCAUAUCCCACACUUACAAACUUCAUUCAACAAAAGAAUUGGUCCAAGUCUAACCUAAUGUGCAUCAUUCCAAUUGAUCUAAACUAAGUUCAUAAUUUUACCUGUGAUGGUACCGGUCCAAGUCCAAGACCGUGAACACGGCCAGGGUGCUCCUUACCCUGAAAGAGAUGACCUAAAACAUCAUUUGGGCUAAUGUCUGUAUGUGUUUCAGGGUCGUUGAUGUAUCGGUGAACUUGUUCCUAUAAACAAAGUCAAACUAUUAGAUAAAAUCUAAGGAUCAAGAAAAUCAAAGGAUCGAGGAAUUCACUUACCACAACUAUUCUUCUUGCACCGUUCGGGUAUUUGCCUCCUUUCCUCUUAUGAUUUUCUCGAUACAACUCUCCUCUGGUAAGCUCUCUUUUCAACUCGUCCUAUUUUUUUCAUAACUUUAAUAUAACAAACCAUGAUAAAAAAAUAAGAUUAUACAAAACUCAUGAUUGGUAGAAAUUGAUUGCCAUCUCUUUUGACUUUGCCAAGAACCUCAUGGUCCCAUAAGUGUGAUAAAUAUUUCUCUUCCCUCGAUUCUCUAUGCUCUUGGAAGAAUAAGUCUAAAAACAAAAAAUAAAUAUUUAACAAACUAAAAAACUAACUCGAAAUUAUAACUAAGUCAACCUAAAAUACAAAGAUUCGUACAUGAAUUUCCUUUCCCAUCCUAUAGUUGAAGAAAUUCUCCCAUUGACUCAAAUUGACAUUUUUGGUAUUCUCUUGUAGUGUAUUUCUUUGUACCCUCCUUAUCGCACUUUUUAUCCCAAAGCUUUUGGCAAUCUUACCUCCACUUCUACACAAGGUCUUUCAUGACGUAGUUGCAUAUAGUUUUUUCAUCUGCAUCAUUCCAACAGAAUUUUUGCUAGAACAUGAUUAGGUAGGUACUUAGAAUAUAAGCAAUCUACAAAAUCUAACAUUAUGUAGGUACCAUUACUAAUAAACUAUAGACUUACCCGUAUGAAAGUCUUGAACACGUGAUCCUUGUCAACUUUUGUGACCUUAUGCCAGUUUUUUGCACCAAAAUUAAAUUUUUUAUUUUUCACUAGCUUCCCAUUCACUUGCCGUAGGAAGCAUCCCUCCUUGCCGAUAGGCACCCCAUACUUCUCUAACUCCAAGACCAUCUUUGAGCCGUCUCGACCCAAUACACUCCAUCUACGUGUCCUCAAGCUCUUCUCAAAGAGGCGACCUUCCUUAUCUACGUUAAAUUUUACAGCUAAGUUAAUAGAUUGAUGCUGAAAUUAUAUUCAAUAUGUAAACACUAAUACUAAUACAUACCGAUCUUACGACAGUUCCAUGAGUCCCUCUCCCCCUUGAACGACGCCUAUUCUCAUCACCGUCGUCAUCCCCAGCAGAGCCACCACACAUAGCUGCCAUGGUACUUAUAGUCGACACAAGAAUUGAUAGUUGCAAUUAAAAUCAAAUUGAUAAGAGUAUUAGUUUCAACAAACUAGAUCAAAACCCUAACAUUAAAAAUUCCUCUAAAUUGACAAUUUUAGGGUUUAAUGGAUAUACUUACCAAUUGAGCAACCAAACAAGUGUAGGAUCAACCGCUCCCAAGACUUGUGCAUUAUUCGAAAAAUCAAUAACAAAAACUCAAACUCUAAUUUCAAUCUAUAUAUCUCAUAUAUAGACAGAAUAAAAAAUAAGACGGAGGAAACUCACACACAUUGUGCUAUGUUUUUAGCUGCUGUUGUUGAUGUUUCUCUUUAUGCAAAAUCACGACAUGAGAAGAAGAGAAGGGACUGGUGAUUUUAUACCAUCAGUUUAGCAGCGAUUUUGGAUUAAACCGCUGUUAAACGACCAACUAAUUGAAAUGCUCUAUUUAAUUGAAGUUUAACAGCGGUUUCAAACCCCUGCCAAUUAACUUCCAUUUAACGGCUGUUGGAUUCCACUGUUAACUUACUCAAAUUUAACAGCGGUUUUUAAAGCAAUGUAAAAAGCUAAGAGUUCAGCAGCAGUUUUAUAUAGCUGUCAAUCGGCUUCAAUUUAACAAGGGUUUCUAAACCCCUAUUUAAUCCGUUGCUAGAUAAUGUAUUCCUUGUAGUGGACAUAGAGAUCAAUGUUCAUGGACUCCAAAAUCUCCGCCCAAAGAUACUUUGUUGGAGGAGUGAGUGGCAUAUGCGCUCCAUCCCAAGCAUGGUCCAGCCCCUUCUGGUGCAUAAUCCUCUUACCAAACAGUUUGCCAGGUAAAGCAACCAUCUUCUUACUCUGGUGGGAAUGAAAGAACUUGGCGACAACUCCAUCCCAGGCAUGGUCCUGCUCUUCUGGGCAUAAUCUCGUCCUUAAGGACAUGGUGGGAUCCCCUCUACUGCCUAUCCCUGUAGGCGAGACUGUAGCAAAAGAACAGAUGGAACAUGUUGGAAAAUGGGUCGAGGUUCAGAGUGUAGGAAGAUGUGGAGAUCCUGGAUUUGACGGUGGUGUCCUUGGUGAAUUUAAUAUUCCUCCACACAAAAUCACAGGAGUUGCGGACCGUGACGGGGUCGUCGCCUUCUUGAUAAGGUCGCGAGAGAGUUGAUCCGGUUUGUUGUAGGGGAAACCCAGCGACUCUUAGAUUCAUCUAGUGUCUCGGUAAAUGAUCUCCCCCCGAGGCGGUAGGAGACACACCUCGAUCUUUGAAUUGUAACUGAGAUUUGAAUAAAAAUAACUCCAAAACUUCUGAAGUGCAAGGAGAUUUGGUUGAGCAUCAAUCUGACACAGGUCUAGAAGUCCUGCUCUGGUGAGUUCUUCUUCGAUGGCAUCUUCCCAAACGGAAUUCUUUUCCCUUAUAUUAUUGAUGUUGAUAACCACCGUUUGGUGCCGCUGGCAAAUCCCACUGCUCCCAAUACCUGACCCAAGCCUUGGUGUCCAUUGAAGUGGAGAAAUGGUGCACAUUAUGUUGUGUUCCCAGAGCUGGAACAAAUGCAGGGUGCUCUGGUUCCGCCUCCGACGAUGAUGAUGACUAGUGGAAGCUUGAGUAUUAGAAACUUGUCCACGCUUACUACAAAAGGAGAACAUCACAUAACAAAAAAAUAAAUACACACCCAACACAUGUCUUACUAUAACACACAAAACAAUCACAUGGUGGCUACCAACAAUUUCAAACUAUCCAUUCUUCACAUCACAUUUACAUUUCAAUAUCAAUUCAAAACAUCACAAAAAUCAAUAUAAUCUCAGUACCGCUUUUAUCAGUAACAAUCCAACAAUCAGAAUAAUGCAACUCAAUAGGGCAAAAUCUCAAAAACACUUUAAAUUUUUCGACCAAAAUUGUAAUUUUCAUCAAGCAAAAUUCAUCCAAUCAUAGGCAAAUCAUAUCAAAAAAAUCCUAUCAUACCCUAUUUCAUCAUGACACAAUCAAUUUUCAAACCUCCCAAAUUCGAAAAUUAGGGUUCUUCACAAAAUUCAUCCUAAGAUUAAUACGGGCAAAUUUUGAGCAUUUCAACAAAAAUAAGCAAAGGAGAAGCAAUCAAUGGGACUCUUAAUUGCCCUUAACAAUGGAUAAUCAGUCGAAUAAACACACCAAAUCGUCAAAAUCCAAAGUUGGGCGAAACUCGGGUCGAAAAUGUUCAAACGGGAUGAAAACUUGAUGAAAUUGACGGGAAAAGAGAGGGGAGGGCAGCGGUGGCGGUUCAGCGAUGGCAGUGGCGGUUCAGCGAUGGCAAUUUUGUGAAGGAGGCGUUGGUGGUGGAUUCGGAUGAAGAAGGAUGUGAAGAAGUUUUGAAAAAGAAAGCUGCUGCUGAUCAAUCGAGACCGAGAAAUCAAAAGUGCACUAUAGAUAUAUCAAAAGUGCGCCGCGCACUUUUCGUAUUUUUAUAGCGCACUUCUUGCCAUAUUUCCAAAGACUGAAGUUUCAAAAUCCCACGAAAAGUGCACCAUAGAGGACCAAAAGUGCGUUGCGCACUUUUGAUCACUUUAUAGCGCAUUUUUGUCACAAAUGCAAAUAUUUUCAGUGUCAAAAUGUUAACUCCUGCAACUCACAAAUCAAAAUAGGACCGAGAAAAAAUCGUUCCAGACUCUAUCUAAUACCUCAUCAUGCAAUAUGACUCAAUAGAAAUGGGAAUGAAACGCCCUCCUUUAAAAAUGUUGUGAUUCAUAGAAAUGGGAAUGAGACGUCCUCUUCUGAAGAUGUUGUGAUUGGUGGACACGAGAAUAGCACACCCUCUUUGCAUGAUUCUCUUCCCAGCGGAAAAGGGAAUGACACACCCCCACCUGACUCUAGACGAUCAUUCAGGAUUAAAAGACCUCGUAUUCAUUGGCAGGACUACCACUUGGAUAGCAGUGUGUACAAACACUCUAUUGCAGGUGUGGUCUGUUACGAGCAUGUUUCUCCGCUGUAUAGGAAUUUUGCAUUAAAUUUUGUUACCCAACAAGAGCCACAAACGUAUGAAGAGGCUAUAGAAGAUGAGAGAUGGGAUAGGGCUAUGAAUGAUGAGAAGCUAGCCCUAAUUGAAAACCAUACUUGCGAUGUAGUAGCAACACCACCAGGGAAGAAGAUUGUUGAUAAUAAGGGGGUGUAAAAGAUCAAAUUGAGAUCAGAUGGUUCAAUUGAUUGCCACAAGGCAAGACUUGUGAUCAAAGGCUACACUCAAGUGUAUGGGAUAGAUUUUUUUACAUGUUUUCACCAGUUGCGAAAAUCAACUUAGUUAAGACCUUGUUGACUGUUGUUGCGAUCAAAUAAUGGCAUUUGGAACAAAUGGAUGUUUCCAAUGCUUUCCUACAUAGAGAUUUAGAAGAGGAAAUUUAUAUGAAAGCACCAUCGGGUUUGGAAGUUGGACCUGGUAUGGUGUUGCAAACUGAAGAAAUCAUUGUAUUGUUUAAAACAAGCAAGCAGUUAGUUGUUUGUCAAAUGCUCUCUAAUCAAACAUGGUUUUAAACAAUCAAGUGCGGAUUAUUCCCUCUUUAUCAAAGAUACAGAGCAUGGAGUGGUAUUUCUUUUGGUUUAUGUUGAUGAUAUAAUUAUUUUAGGAGCUGACAUGGGAGAAAUCGAUUCAAUUAAAGCCUACAUGUGAUCAGUGUUUAGAAUCAUGGACCUAGGAUCUCUCAGAUACUUCCUUGGACUAAAAAUUGCUCGAUCCAAAGAAGGUAUAGUGGUGAACCAGUGGAAAUACUAUGUUGAACUGUUGAUAGAGAUGGGUUGUGUUGAAGCCAAGGAGACACAAUCUCCUAUGGGUAUGAACAUGAAGUUACAAGCAAAGCAAAGAGACUUGCUUGCUGAUCCCGGUGAGUAUCGACGAUUGGUGGGCAAGCUGCAUUAUUUAAUAAUAACUCGACCUGACAUUGUGUUGAUUUUGCAAUAGUUAAGUCAAUUUCAGUCUGUACCUUAUACUGAACACUUAAGUGUUGCUCAACGUGUUCUUCGAUAGUUAAAGAAAGCUCCAGGACAAGGACUGCUUUUCAAAUCAGACAACAUGCUGACACUUAGUGGUUAUUGUGAUUCUGAUUGGGCAACCUGCCCCAAUACGAGGAGGUCAGUAACAAGAUAUUGUACAUACUUGGGAGUUUAUUUGUUGACUUAGAAAUCAAAGAAACAGACGAUAGAUUCGGGAUCUUCUUCAAAAGCGAAAAAUCGAGCAUUGGCUCACCUUAUUUGUGAGAUCCAAUGGUUAACAUCAUUGUUAAUGGAGAUGGGGAUACAACUACCUACACCUAUUAGCAUCAAAUGCCGCAAAAAGUUGGCAAUCCACAUUGCUUAAAAUCUCGUAUUUCAUGAACGCACAAAGCACAUAGAUAUUGAUUGCCAUGCGACUUGGGAGCAAAUUAAAUGAAGAUUGAUCAAACUUCAAUAACUGCCUACGAAGUGAUGAACAUACACUCUCCAAUUUGUAGGAGGAUAUCAAAUGAAAAUGAAGAUGCAGAGGAUAGCACCUAGUCUGACUGAACCACUGAAAAGCAUGGCCAGGCUUCUCCUAUUAUUUGAAUGUCGUCGUUAUAGUCUUAGCUUAAUUAGUAUUUUUCUUAGCCAGUAAGGAAAGGACACUUGUCCCAAUCAACUCAGCAUAACCCUAUUAGGGACUAUUUAAACCAAAUGGGAAUAAUUCUUCUGCAAUUAUUACAGCUUCCACCUCAUUCAUUUAUGCAAUUCCUUAGCCCAAGUAUAUGUGAAACCUCAAAGAAGCGUAAGUAGUUGUAUCAAAGAUAGUGAAGAAACCAAGAUAUGAACGACUCAUCAAUAUCCAAUAAGGAUUAUGCCACUUUGUGGGUGUGUAUACAGUCUAUCAACAGAAAUGGAAGAAUGGGACUUGGAGAUAGUGCAACAAUAAAUAGACAAACGUUUCAUCAAAUUUAUUCAUCUCUAACAACCAGUUUCUCAAUUGCUCAUUGCGAAAGGAAUCCACCAUCGUCUUUCCUGUCCUCACACGCCUAAACAAAAUGGAGCGAUGGAACGUCGAAAUCGUAUCAUCGUAGAGAAAGGCCUCACUCUCCUUGCUCAAAUCGUCCUAAGCACAGAUUUUCUAGGAACAUGCCUUCAAAAUAGCGACGUACCUUCACAAUAGUACGCCAACACCAACUCUUUUUUAACGCCUCUUCUCAAAUCCGCCGAAUUACAACGUCCUUAAAGCUUUCGGUUGUCUCUAUCACCCCUAUCUUCGCCCAUAUAAUACUCAUAAAAUAGACUUCCGAAGCUUACCAUGCAUUUUUCUCGGGUACAACUCAUCUCACAAAGGAUACUUGUGUUACCAUUUCCCAACAUCUCGGUUAUAUAUUUCUCGACAUGUUAUAUUUGAUGAACUCACUUUUCCACCUGUCUCUCUUCCUAGAAACGAUACUCGCAAUCCUUCCCCGUCGCCAAGUCCCUCCACCAUCCUUCAUCAUGUUGCUACCUUAAACACUAAUGAGGUACCAUCCUCAACUCCUCCUUCCAUUACUUCCCACACACCAUCGUCCUCAUCACAAUCCUCAACUUCCUCUGCUUCUAACCCGUCCCCAUCCCCACCUCCAACUCCUCCUUAUCAACGCCUAACGACCAGCUCCAGUGCAAAAGCCACCCAACCUUCCCAAACACUUGUCGUGCCGCCCACACAACUCAUUCAAUGACCACACAUGUUGCGACUAAUUCUCUAAAGCCGAAGACAUUUACUCUUACGUUAGACUCGGAUCGCUUAGUAGAACCCAAAACUUUUAAACAAGUUGUGGUACAUGAAUAUUGGCGACAUGCUAUGAAAAUAGAAUUCAAUGGUCUUAUGAGAAAUUUUACUUCGUCAUUCGUGCCUUGUCCUGCUAAUGUCAAUCUUGUUGGGAGUAAAUGGAUUUUCAGGAUCAAACGUCAUUCUGACGGCACUCUGGACUGUUUCAAAGCUCGCUUAGUGGCCCAAGGUUUCAGCUUAGAAGAAGGUUUUGAUUAUUACGAGACAUUCAGUCUGGUGGUAAAGCCAUCCACAAUUCGUACUGUCUUAUCAAUAUCAGUUGCUAGAGGAUGGGAGCUACGUCAACUCGACAUCAACAAUGCAUUUCUAAAUGGAGAUUUGACUGAGGAAGUUUACAUGAAGCAACCCCGAGGUUUUGAGCAUCCAGAUUAUCCUAAUCAUGUGUGUCAUCUUCACAAGGCCUUAUAUGGACUCAAACAAGCACCAAGGGCCUUGUUCACCAAACUAAAGAUGUACCUAACAGGUCAAGGGUUCAAAGCAUGUCAAUAUGACGCCUCACUAUUUGUUCACAUCAUUACGCAAGCCACAACCUAUGUCCUCGUCUACGUCGACAAUUUCAUCAUUACCGGAAGCAACCCCAAGUUUGUCAACAACUUCAUUCAACAAUUGGACAAGCAGUUUGCAUUAAAAGAUAUGGGGUUGUUGCACCACGUUUUGGGAAUAGACAUACGUCAUACAGCAGCCGUCAUCCAAUUAACUCAACAGCAUUACCUCAGAGAAUUGAUCACAAGGGUACACAUGUAUGGCGCGACACUAGUCUCGACACCCACUGACGUUCAUUGAUGCCGCCAAUAUCACAUUUGCGGUCAAUCGGGUUUGUCAGUUUAUGAGCUCCCCAACGAUUCAACAUUGGCAAGCUGUAAAGCAUCUACCUUCGGUACUUUAAUGACACUUUGACACAGGGUUUACACUUCCAAAGCACAUCAGCUACCCAACUACUUGCAUAUUCCGAUUCGGGAUGGGUUUUAGACCCAGACGAGAAUCGAUCUCAAUAUGGGUAUAUGCCAUUUUUCAUGGAACAAAUCUAAUUAGUUGGACUUCCCGGAAGCUGAAGGUAGUGGCUUGAUCAAAUACCGAAGCGAAUAUCGAGCUCUAGCAUAUACGUCAUCUGAACUCAUAUGGUUACAACAAUUAUACUCGGAACUCAGGCCAGCCAUAUCCAGAUCCACCACUGCUCUUAUGUGAUAAUGUCAGAACUCAUAUGGAUAACUCCCGUUUUGUAGGGACUUAAGUUAAAUUCAUUUGUAUAUAAACAUAAGAUCAAUAACAAACACAAUCAUUCACUCUCCAAUCUUUCAAUCUCCAACAAAAAUGGGUGCCCCAGAGAAACAACAUAACAACUAUUUUAUUCCCAAACAAAUACAAGUCUUAACAACACCCAAGGGUAAAAAGAAGAAAAGGAAAGUGAAAGCUCUUGGUGGAUGGCGGCUUAGUAGUAGAUGAAUGUUUAUUACUUACUAAUGGUUCUUCUUCAAGAAAUCCGAGCAGCCUAUGAUUCCAGGGUAGUAAAUGAAAUGAAAUGAACAAGAUGUAAAAUUAGUUGCAGGUUUCUCUAAGUAAACAGACUGAAGAUUCCUUUCUAUUUCAACAUCAACACGAUAAGGUUGAGCAACUUAAAGAGUUAGAAGAGAAGAUUAGAUAAACAUAAUUGCUCGUUAAAGAGUUAAAUAGAGAUCUUGUAUUACUCAUUCAGGCAGGAGCUACACAGGGACUGACUGAUCUACAAUGACUUGGUAACCCAUCAUCAACGACCUCCUCCAUUCUCAUAUAAAAAAAACCUAGAUGGGAGGAGACACCGUUAACUUUAUACAAUUUGAGUAACAAUUUACGGUUAGAAUUACCUGAGAAAUUCAGAAAUCUGAACUCAUCUUUCUAACGAAGGGCACAAAAUUAUUCCAGUUUUCAGCUGAAAAUAUUUUCUCAUUCAUUCUGAAAUAAGUAAAUGACCUUACAGCUUCUGCCUGUGGGUGAUUACAGUUCGCAAGUAUUUGCCUGAAUCCUGUCUGCAAAUAGGUACCACAUGCACAUAUUAUUAACAACUAUCACUAAGAAGAAACCAACCGAUAAGCAAAUGAUUCCUCCCCUGGACCAGUUUCAGAUAAGUGACAUCUAGCUAUACGCAACAUACAAUCGCUACUAUACUGUAAUAUCCCUUACCUUAUCCAAUCGUUCAUUCGCAUUUCUUCCAAUCAAAUGUAUUCCUUUGUUUGAAAUUCUGCGUAUCUGGAUCAAUGGGAAAACAACUUAGCAGAAAGCAGAGAUAAUAUGACAAUAUCGAAAUGUUCAAGAUUGAUCGUUAAGAUCAAAUGAACACUACUGACUAAUAACUUGGAUUAUGAAACAGGCUGCCUAAAACACUAAACAGUGACCAUUUAGGUGAAGAUUUUCACAUUAAGAAAGAUGAUGAACCUGUUGAAGAAAGCCUUCCGGGCUGCAAAGGUAAGGUGGUGGGGUUUCAUUGUCCAUCAUCUCUAAGCAGCUGUAAGAAAAUUACUACAGAAAUGAGGUAAAAGGGAAUAUGCGAGAAAGAAACCAGUAUUAACGAAGCAAUGUGGGUGAUACUUAGAUGAAGAGACAUGCAGCGCAAGACAAUGAAUCGCUCACUUGAAAGAUGACUUGAGAUGCCCAUAAAAUAAUUUAAAUGUCCAUAAUGUAUACAACGAUAAAAACGACAAAAAACAGCUGUCUCCAAGAGGAAAUUUCAAUCGAAGACUUAAAAGAUGUGCUCAAUCAAUCUCAUCUUCAUAUACUAGACCUACUAACAGUUCAAUUUACAGCUAUCCAUGGAAUAGAAGUUCAUAACCAUUUCAUCGCAUCAAUUGACGUCUUCCUUUUACCAAUUCUAGUUGAGUAUUCGUCAUAUACUUGAGAACAUAAGUUCCCAUGCAACAGUCGUAGACGCAGAAGACAAGUAUCUGAGUCUUACGGAAUAUGCAGUGCAGCACAAUGGCGAGAUAACAUCGACGCAAGAGGAUCGUAACCAUCUCUAAGCGCAGUGUUGUAGUAACCAGCUGUAAGUUCAGCUGGGUGUGAUAUAGUUUGGUACCACCAAUUUUAGCCACCAACAGAAUUGAGGUUUCUAAGUUUUCCUGAUACUUCUUCAAUGUAUUAGCUGCCUUGGCCAGAAUAGCAUCCGCGUGACAAAUUAGCUUGCUACUGUACCAUUCCUACAGAUAUUCUUACCUCCUGUCAGGUCAGGUCCUAAGAGUAGUUAACAGACUUAACUCGAAAAAACAUUGACUAGUUCAUUUACAAUUGUAAAGUGCACACAGCAAUAUCAAAGUUUACGAACUUGGAAAUGUCAGAUCCACAAGUCCAGAGCCAUAAUAUUCACAAGUUCAUGGAUGGAUUGUCGCGAUCACAUUUUAUGCAUACCAAUAUAUUAUUUACCUAAUCAACAUCCAUUGAUUUCACUUAAAAGUCUUAAAAAUUCCAUGGUUAUGGAUAAUGUAACUUAUUAUACAAUAAAAUUAUCAAAUAGGAUAAGUCGACAAUUCGGUCGGAAGUUAGUCAUAGGAUCAGAGCAUAGUAAAAGAAAAAUCCGCCUCCGUACAAUAGAUUUUUCAAAAUCAUUUCUGACUCAGUUAGCUAUAAGCAUUCAGGGGCUGACUCACAGACUGCAGUCAGUAGACUAUUUUCAUUUGCCGAGUAGAUACUUUUAGAGUUCUUUUGCUGCUCAACAGUCAUCCAUGUAUAUUUUGAAUCAUAAAAACAACAAUCCAAACAUUUUAAGUGAAUAUAGAAGCACAUUAGCAGCAUGUGAUACAUACCAGGAAAAAGCAUCCAUAAUCGGAUAGAAAGCUCUCCUGUCCAUCUUCGAAAAACGGCACUCCUUGGGGAAGACUAUUGUAACAACCAGCAUUAUGAGGUCCCCUGUCUCCCCAUUCCUGCUUUCCUGCUUGACAUGCUGCCAUCCUCAAGUCUUUCAUCCUUGAAGGUAAACAGACAUGUAAAUAUUCUACUUCCAAUGUAUAGGAGAAUGUUACAGAUUUGACCUACAUAUAUUUGUCAUAACAUUGGAAUUCACCGAUUCCAGGAAAUUGCCAUCUGCCAUCACCCAGAGGAUGUGCUGGGUACCUGCAUGUUCGUCUUCAUGUAUUAAUACUACGGAAGUGCAUCACUUGAGUCAUUCGUUAACAGGUUUUAAAGUACCUGAGCUCUCCGGAAGGACCAAGACCAACAUUUAUUUCUUCAAUAACAAUCCCCAAAUAAGAUUCGAAUUUGCUAACAAAAUUAACGAUGAAGUCUUCGUAACAUUGGAGAGGUGUCCGCCCAUGAAAUAGGGGUAGUCGGUCCACUCCAAGUGUGAGAUAAUCAGCAUUCGACUGACCACUUCUGUCUCGAUAAUAUAUAUCCUUGUUGCAUUUACCAAUCUAAGAAAAUGAGCAAGUCAUAAGUCUUGGCUCCAAGACCAGCAUGAAAGUGGUUUAUUUAAGGGCAGAAAACAUGGCAAAAACAUGUCCCAUGGAUUUGGAAGAUAAAGAAGAAAGGACAAUUAUUAAAUAUAGAUCUUAAUGUGCUCCAGUACUAUCUACUCUUAGGUUUUGAGAUAAUUGAGAUGGAAUAUUAAACAAUAAAAUACUUUUUUUACCAGCAAAGGAAAUCUGUCGGUAGGCGAUCAAACGUCACAAACUUAGUUCAUGAAACCAUUCUGCAGCGGCAUUAUUAAAAUGUAAACAUAGUUAAAAGACUGAAUACCUCUACAAUCCACAGCGGAAGAUUCACGCCCCACUUUCUAUACUGAUGUUCAUUUGAAUGAAAAUUUAAGGCAACAUGCAACUUCAGCCCUGAUUCUGAAAUCAGUUUGAAGAGAUCUUCAUAAAGGCUCCAAUUAUAUUCAAGAGGAGCAAAACGUUCCACAAUUCCCCACCACAACUCCACCGCAAUUCCAUGGACACCUGCCAGCUUCAGUGCUUUUAGAGAGACAGUUAAUGCCUUCAGUCUGAAACCAAGAAUAGAGAUCGCUGAGAGCCACUCCAGGUAACCCACAGAGGUCAAUAAUGAAAUAGAGGAUUCAGCAUCAUGACCCAAAUUUUCACCUAUGGAUACUGUCCAUCCUCCUAAACAUAGAAGAAAUGCAUUUCAUUUCAGAUAUUAGAUAAGCUCAACCAUUUCAGUUGCCAUAUCAUCAUGAAGGCGUUUAUACAAUCACAUUAAGAGCGAAGCUUAUAUGGUCUCUUACUGCCCCACGUGGACUUCAAGAAGAUCAAAUUUCGGGGCAACGAAUAGAAAGUUCAAAUGCAUAACCAAAUAGCUGUGACACACCUUUUGAUCCUCAGACUUCCAGAUGCAUCACAACCAAAGGUAUCAAUCGGCAUCACCACGAACACUGGUAUCCUCUUGUGCUUUGAUGAAUCCAGUACAGUAGAAGUUGAUUUUUCUCGAGCGUCCAUGCUGAGAAAUAGAGCAUGUGCAUCAAAGAUGAAUCUUGUUCUUUGAACAAUGGGUAGCUCGAUUUCGCAUAAGCAGAAAAUAACAAUAUCAGACUAUGGAACUGGUAUAUCAUAUCAACAGCUGUGUGAACAGAAAAUGAUAACAAACGUUAAAGGUAUUUUAUCAAAAUUGAAGAGUAGGAUGGUUGGACACUAGACUGGUUGAGAGCAUAUGAACUUGAAAGAACUGUUUUAUCAUCUCAAAACAUGAUUGUUGAACUGAUAAAUUACUCUACUGAAUGCUCGCGCUGGCAAAAUGAAGAGGUUCCAAGAUUUCGGUUGUCAAUCAUCAGUUCAUCAAUAUUCCUAUUGUUCUGGUAACAAACAGAUUGAUUAAGUUGACUGUUGGGACUCGAACAAUAGCCUUCGCAGUCAAUUAAUGCUAAUUUUUUCCAAUAAGGGACGAAAAAUACACGAGGAAAUGAGAAAUGCAAGGAGUUGCAUAUUCUAAUUCAGAAAAGCCACGAGAGAGCUCAAAUGGAGGAGCUGACCUCAGAAUGCGGUAGCUGACGCUGAGAGUUCGCCAACGCGAGCCAAAGAGAUGCUUCUUGAAGGGAGCGACCAUCGAAACAUUAUGGAGUUUGGUUCGCAAUCUCCGCCUGUCAAUGAAACUUAUCUCCUUGAAAAUGCAGCAGGUCCUGCUCCGCAGCAUGUCUGCUCCCGAUUCCGCCAUCUCUCUCUCUAUAUAUAUAUAUAUGUAUCUCUCUCGCUGCAGAUAAUACUACAGAGUGGGGGAACAACGGGGAGAAUGCAAUUGAAGGAAGAAACGGCACUUCAACGAAGAUGGACUGACUCCAUUCAUUUCUGUGCACAAAUAUAGAACCCAAGAAAAUAAAGUUGUUAUACUUUAAUGUACGCAAUUAACAAAUCCCUUGAAAAAACAUACAAUUUAAAAUUUUCCUGGUUGAUGCAAAGAUAUAAUCUGUAAUCAUGCUUUAUGAAUAAAUCAAGUAUAAAGUAUUGACCGAAAAAGUUAUACCCCCUUCUAAAUAUUCCAUUUCUUCCUGAAUAAUUUUAUAUCGGAGUACAUUUGGGUUUCCAAUAUCCAUACUACGUAUCAUGCAAUUAUUGUUAAAUUUUAAAAAGAAAAAGAAUAUACUGAGAUAAUAUAGUAAUUAUUCAAAAAAACACAAUAUAAUCACCUAAUAAAAAUGUCAUUUGUAUCUAACUCUGUCUACGUCCAGCUCAUUAUCUAUCUCAUUUAUUUCCAUCAUUCAUUGAAGUAAUUGGCCGGCGGCGAUAAGUACACCCUUCACCUAUCGUCUAUUCAAUAGCCCAUCACUAAAGCAAUUUUCGAUAUUCUCUGGCUUAUUAUUUGCACCAUUACUAUCAUCCCUCAGAUGACUGCCAAAAAGGGGAAAGGUUUUGUUUAAGUGUCAACAUUUUCCACCAAGUUGGAAUCAUCUAGAGAGUUUUUUUUUCCAACUAUCGGGUUGUUAGUUGAACUGAGGUUUAUAUAUUGGAUUUCGCAUAGGUACGACAAUUAGCAAGACUCUAGCUGGGGUGAUGAUCGUAUCUAGCUCCUUCCAAAUAUCCGGGCUUCCAACAACAUUAAUAUCUUUAUGAAUUUUAAAGUAUGACAACCAAACUUGAUACCCCUCCCGCGUCAAGUAAUUACCAGUGUUACUUUAAUUUGACUCCAACUGAGAUAAAUAGAUUGCACUAUAAUUGUCGGAACCAAGCUUUUAGUAAGAGCAAAAUUCCAUCGACCAACUCUUUAACCAAGGCAUUAAUAGGAAAACCGUGCGUUGAGGAGACGACGAAACCUGGAAUAGAGGGAAUCCAACGAUCCACACCCCCACACCACCACCACCACCACCCCGCGCCCAAGAUACGAAUAAAGGCUCUAUUACCAACAAACCAAGGAUGACCACUGUAUAAAAAAUCUUGGGGACUAAUGAGACUAUGCCAAAUAAAAUUUGGACGAUAACCUAGGUCAGGUUCAAAAAUAGAAGAUUGUUUACAGUUCUUAGCUUUCAUGAUAUGAGCGAGUCAGGACGUUCAUAAAGACUCCAUAAUUGUUUUGCCAAAAGCCUAGUAUUAAAACCCCUUAUAUCCCGGAAGCCCAUUUCACGUUCUGAUUUUGAACAUAAAAAUUAUGACAAUCAACUCAAUGAAUUCGUCUUUUAGUACCACGUUGACCCCACCAAAAAUUCAUAAUCAGACUAGGGAUAUCAUCAAUAAUGCCUUCAGGCAUUCUAAACACAGUAAUCGCAUAAUAGAGUAGAGUUUGAGCACCUGACUUAAUCAAAACUUCCCUAGCCGCAACUAACAUUCUCUUCUCCUUCCACCCUUUCAACUUACUUCAAAUCACUCGUUUAAGUGAGAUAACAACUACUUUUUUAAUCGCCCCACUUCCGUCACCGACCCCAAAUAUUUAUCAUGUUUUUCAACAAUUCGCAUCUCCAAAAUGCCACUGAUCUGCAACUUAGUAUGAUGGUUAACAUUCCUACUAAAAGAAACUCCAGACUUUUCAAGAUUUAUCAUCUUCCCCGACUCCAACUCAUAGGUCUUCAAGAUAUACAUAACAGCUAGACAUUCCUUCACAUUACUUAGAGGAAUCAACAACAAAAUAUAGGUGCAAGAUCGCCGAAGCACCUGUAACCGCUUUCAGACCAUGAAUCUGCUUAUUAUGAGUUGCAUGUGCAAAUGCGGUCGACAAACCUUUUGCACAUAACAGGAACAGGUAAGGAGAUAAAGGUUCACCUUGGCGAAGACCUCAACUAGGAACAAACCUCUCAGAACGAUGUCCAUUAACCAGUAUAGAAAAAAGACACAGUCUUCACGCAAAACAUAACAUGGGAAACCCAAUCUUCCGGAAAAUCCAAAUGCUUGAUCAUGCUUUCCAUGAGAGACCAUUCAACUUUAUCAUAAGAUUUGGUCAUAUCCGCUUUUGACGCUAGAAAACCUGUUUUAUCCUUCGUAAUCUUCUUUAUAGUGUGGAAACUUACGAAGGCAAUCAUAACAUUAUCUGUAAUGAACCUACUUGACAAAAAAGAACUGUUUUCGGGGAAAUCACCUUAUCCAACACCAACUUCAGUCUAUUAGCAAUAAUCUUUGCAACCAUUUUAUACAUAACACUAUAAAGGCUAACAGGGGGAAGUUUUUUUUUUGACUUGGGAGAUUUAGUCUUUGGCAUUGUCCCAAUAAGCGUAUAGUUUAGUUCAUGUAGCAUAAUCCCUCUUGUAAGAAUAGCCCGGACCAUAGAAACAACUUCAUCCUCAAUAAUAUCCUAGUUUUAUGGGAGAAAAAGACUAACAAUCCAUCUACUCCUAGGGAUUUAUGAGAACCCAUGUGACUAAGGGCAAGCACCACAUAGUCCCUUUGAAAAAGCUUACAUGGAGAAUCAUGAUCCGGCGCAUUAACUUUCCACAAGAUUUCGUCAGGAAUUGGAGUAUAAUGAGGUAACGAACCAACUUUGAAUAGAGUAAAGUAGUUAACAAUGCAAGUCUCCACCUACUGCUACCCCAUAUACCACCUUUCUGUAAAAUCGUUAAGCUUUUGAAUAGUAGUACACUUAUGACGAGUUGAGGCUUUUGUGGAAAAAAUUUCGUAUUCCUGUCGGAUAUGAGCCAGAACGCACAAUUAAGACGACCGAGACGAGCUAUCGAAAAAGGUUUAAAAAGGAAGAACGAAACCCUACACUCGGGUGUGAAGUUACCUAGCCGAUCAAUCAAAGAACACAAAAGGAGGUCCAAGUCUCAAAUGUGUAUGGUGCCAUAAAGUGGGGGUGAAAACCCGAGUACGAUAUACCAGAAUCCUCUGCCUAGCAACUAGUGCUUCGAAUAAUCCGGAAUUUACUUUCAUUAUUUUGGGAGUGGUAUCGAAAAAAUGGUCUAAACUCUCCUUUAAUAUGUAAGGAAAAGGGCUGAAAAUUACACAAUGAUAAUUGAAGAGGAGUCCUUACGUUGCAAGGCAAGUAAUCCUUCUUCCUUACGGAUCAAGUUUUGACUAAGUCAAACCUUGCUUCUCAAGGAUAGAUAUCGGCCAAUGAGCUCUUUAGAAGGGCAUCUUGGGCGUAAAUUAAACUCUUAAAGUGAAUAAAAUAGCCCAGAUAUAGGGUCACUUAAGCCUCAAAAGUGGGCUUAGUGAGCCAUAGGCUUGAUGGCGGGUAGUAGGCCUUGUCUCGGGUCUUCAACACAUCCAAGGCAGAGAAAAAUAGGUCUGAGGUCGAAGCUAUUGAAGGGUCUCGUUUCGGUGGCAUCGGUGCCACCGCUUCAGGUCCACUUGGUGUCCUCGAGUCCAACUCUUGAAUUUGAUGAUGUAAAUGACUGGGAUUGGGCUUCAUUUAAUACUCAAUGCUUCUGUUCCAGAGAUGGCUCUAAUAAAUAUUCUUCAUUUGGACUAGAGCUCAAAUCGUGACGAUAUUGUGAUAUCGGUGGGUGCGAUUUUGGUCAUCUUUGCACCUUCGUCUUCUCUAUUACACCAAUUUCUCUCGAACUUGGUGGAGGGUCUCCUUUCAUCAUAUUACAGUUGUGAUACGAAGAUAGGUCGAGAAAAGUCUGCUCAUUCUUGCAUUCUUGAAGAAUCUUGAUUUUCUGUGCGGUUUCGAUGUCAAUGCCAACAUCGAUGCUGCUCGCCGACAUCAGUGCCAUUUUCUCGAGUAUAAAUAUAUAUUCGUUAAUCUUCAUCCCUGCUUGGUGGUUCUUUAUGAUCGAUACUUUCUCAAACUCUCCUUUUCCUACAAUGACAUUUUGGGCAACCACAUGUUCACGUACAAGAUAGUAUAGUAUAAUGUCAUGUAGUCACAUAAUCGAGAUGUUGGGCAACCAAAUUCCAGGCUAAGCAAUUUAUAGAACAUAAAUUUAGUAGGCAAAACAUCAUCAUUAAGAAAAAAAGUGCGAAUAGUCAUGUCCUCCUAAAAUGAUAUUAGAAUUCAUGUUCAAGAAGUCUACUGAUAUGAGCUGAAGCACCUAUGAGACAAUCAAGACAAUCUAUCAAUUUCGGUUUCAGAACAACGAAACAAAAUCCAAUAACCAGAUAGAAAGUUACUUAGGCGACCAAUCAACUAGAGUUGAAGGGAGGUUCAAGUCUGAAACAUGAAUGGUGACACAAAAAGGGGAUGAUAUCCUCACUACGAUAUACCUGAAUUCUCUAUCGUAGCAACGGCGUGCUUCGAAGAAGACGAAUUCAAAAAACAGAAUAAGCCGAAAUUUACUUUAUUAACUCUGGGGGUGGUUUCGAACUAUGGUUACUGCAUCCUCUUUAUAUAGAAGAGGGAGGCCACAAAAUUACAUGUAAAAUAAGGGAAAAGAAGGCAGCAGUCACCAAGGAAAGUUAGGGAGAAUGAAUUCCUUAACUUGCAAGAAAAGGAAAACAAGUUUUGACUAAGUCAAUCCUUGCUCCUCAGGAACUAAAUUUGGUUAAUCAGCUCUUUAGGAAUGCUUCUCGGGACUUAAUUAAAACUACUACAUCUAUAUACAAAUCCCGAAAUAAACUACUAUAACGCGAAUAAAAGAUAGGGGGCCGCUUAAGCUCUAAAAGUGGGCUCAGUGGAUCGUAGGCUUGAUGGCGGGUAGUAGGCCUUGUUUCGAUCCAUGAAAACAUCCAAGGAAGCCCAUUGAAUGUAUUGUGAACUUAUAGGUCGAGAAAAAUAUGUAUGGGCUUGAACGGAUGUCAGAGGACUUGUUUCGGUGGUGCCGACAACACCAUAAAGGGUCCAAUUGGUGACCUCGUUUCUGAUCGUUGAUCUGGAUGCUCUGAAUGACUUGGACGGGCUUAUCUAUUUCUGUUAUGCAUCUGGUCCAGAGAUGGUGUGAAAAAGAAGAUAUGUUAGGUUGUGGCUCAAUUUGUCGAAAUUUGUUGAAAUUGGUGGAUCCGAUUUCAAACAUCUUUGCACCUUCGUUUUUUAUUCAACUCAAAUUGCUUGAAAACUUGGUGGAGGGUCUUGUUUUUUAAUAUAGGUCAAGAAAAUCUACUCCUUUUUGCGUGCUUGAAGAAUCUUGAUUUUUUGUGCGGUUUUAAUGUCGAUGUCGGUAUCGAUGCUGCUCACCGACAGUAGUGCCACUCGUUGAAUCGUCAUUUCUCCGAGUGUGAAUUUACCAUCCUUAAUCCAUGAGAGGAUCAUCCUAUAUUCCAUCUUUGUGAGUCCCCCUCCAAAAUUCUUGCUUUUGCUCCAAGCUUUUCGUUGGUUUCCUUUGAAUGGUCUCGACUACUCGAAGCUUUGGCAUCAUGACUUGGGACCCUUGGGAUGACCUCAUCAUCUACACUACUACUAUUAUUGCAUAUGUAAAAAGCCAUGAAAAUCCUCUUGUGAACAUGUACAACAUAAUUGAUAAAUCUCAUGUAAGCAUCACAUGCAUUAGUAAGUUCAUAGAUCAUAUCUUUAGGAUAAAGAGUUUCUAUAUCAUGUUUUAAUAGACCAUUAGAAUCAAAACCACUUAGCAAAUAAAGAGUCAAAACUAGCAAUGGGUUAAAAUGACUUAUCGGUUUUGAUUAUUUGCACUUCCACGCAAGGUCUUCAUAGUUAUCCUCAUGGUAGCUCAUUCCUCUUCCCACUACUUGUUUUCCAUUAUUUCUAAUGAAUUGUAGAGACUUCAAAUCUUGCAUUCACUAAUUUAUAUUUAUGUUCCAAAUUUGUUACAAAAGUCGAUUAAUUUUAGGUGCUAAAUGAGCAAAAUAUGAAACAAUUUAAUGGAUAGAUUUAAACCAAGUAAUCCUAUCAUAAUCAAUUUUAAUCAUCAAUGACUGGGACAAUUCGUCACUAUUCCUCACAAAAUUCGAACCAUAAAAAAUUAGAUUACUAAAAUUUGAAUUCAAAGAGUAAGGAUAGCGGGACUUAGUGUGAACGGUGUGUGGCCUCGAGUUCCUUGUGUGUAAUGUUGUGACCGAUUGCUCCUAUACCUUUCAUCUUUAAAACCUGCAUUAACUCCACACCAAAUCUAGAAAAUGAAUAGGUGAUAUUAGUGGCAUUUAAACACUCCUUGUAGUGAGUCACUACAAAGGAUUUCCUUUCGGAAUUUAUUGGGUUAAUCUCACACUCUAGCUAUAUGGUUUUCUCUCCUCUCAUCAAGCUCUGUACAUUUAUUUUCUGAUUUUGCACUCAUGAGGGUAGCUCUGUGAUAAACGCUUUUUACGCAUCUCAAAAUAAACCUAGUUAAUGAAUUAACUAGAGUUGAAUCUCCCUAGGGUCUCUCAUUUGAUUCUAAUCAAAAUUACAAGAAGUGUUAAUUGGUUUUAACAAACUGUGUUCUGUAGGUUCCAUGAUUACUAAGAAUAUAAAUUUAUCUAUAUAUUCCAAUGAUUGGGAAAAUAAACCAAGGUUGCAAGACUACACGUAAGAAGGUUGAACCAAAUGGGAGAAAACGGUUUAGACUUAAAAUCCUCAUAGGCUAUCCAAAUUCAUAAAUGACGGACAACUUCAACGAUUUAAGCAAAAUAAGAUAGAUUCAAUUCACCAUCGCAGUUGUUCUCUAAAAAAAUUAUGCCCUUUUGGGGCUGCUAAUUUGCUACAUAUCUACUAUCCCAGUCCGCUCUUUCGAGACAAAUAUCUGAAAUCCACUACGCGACAAAGCCAACGUGAACUGCUCACAAAGCAGACUAGUUUAUUCGCUCCUGGAUGAGGGUUAACGCCUAACCUAGUUUUUUAAUUUUGAUGUUCUUGAUAUGCAAGCUCUAUCGAGAUGAAGAAAAAUCUAACAAGGCUCUAUUCAAGUUGAUCAGGCAAGAAUAGAAACAAAAAUGAAAUUAAACAUAAACCAAAUGCUACCCAACUCGCAUAAAUCGUCAAAGAUAAUCAAUCAUUCGUUCAUAAGGAAAUCACCAAAGGUUCGUCCAAUCUAAGCACAAGGAGUUUAGCUACGCAUAAUAUCAAAGAACAAAUCAAAUUCAAAUAAGACAUUGAUUCUAGGUUUAGACAAAGAGCUAUGAAAAAAGCUAAUUUUGUUGAAUCCUGUCGAAGAACUUGAUUCACCGAUCUUGAUUCGUCGCUACCAAUUCAUGCGCUUUGAAGUUGAUGUCUUCUAGUUGCUCCAAAAUCUUUAAACUUCUCUCUGAUUUUCGUCCAAAAAGGGUCUACUUUCAAGUGAGGGAGGAAAGACCUUUAAAUAGGAACUAAAAUCCCUGUUGAUGUCGGGCGUCACACUAUACGCCUUAACCGGUAUGACUUAGGCACAUAGUGUUUUACCAAAAAGUGGCACAGUGUGACACAUUCAGGUGCAUUCUAUGCCAAAUUUCUAGAGCACCCAUGCGCCCAACUUGUCACACUAUGCGUCGUAAGAAUGCACCAUUUUAGUGCAUAGUGUCAUAAAGGCCAGGUCUUGAAGUUUUUUCCACUACUAGAUCCGUUCUAGCUUGUUCAAGCAUUCCCGUAUUGUUCCAAAUAGUGCCUUGGAAUCUAAAAAAAACUCUUCCAAACGACAUCAAAUGGACCUUGAACUAGCUCGAGAUACUAACUCGAGAUAAAACUAUAAAUGCAUAAAACAUUCUAAACUUCUACCCAAAACUAUACAAACAUGCAUGGAAUGUCGCUUAAAACAUCCUAACUCUGUGGUUCACUGGAGAUCAAGUGCCACACGUCCUUUUAUUCAUUUUUAAUAAUCUGGGGCUCAUCACUAGCCAACUCAAAUGCCCAGGAGAGACCAGUGAAAGGCCACUGCAAGUCAAGGGAUGAGGUAAACUCGUCCAAUGUCUCUCUAAAGGUGGUGCCCCCAAGUUGAUAGUCAACACAAACCCCGUCUUGCUUCUCCCGAAAAAUCUCAUAAUGGAAAGAGCUCCAAAACUCCUAAAGUUCCAUAAGGAUGGGUUGAUCGCUAAUAGUAAUCCACUCUGUUAAUCCUCCCAUGUCCAAAUGCCACAUAAUCUCAUCCACCCAAGUUGGAUUCAUAGCCCUUAUAAUCUCGAUGUCCAAGGCUUGAGUGGGUGAUGCUGGGAGAUGAUGGAAACUACGCCAGAAAUUGCAGCAAGCAUUGAUAAAGAGACGGCGGAGAUGAAUGUGGUAGUGAGCUACGCCAGGGUCAGUUCGAUCAGGGACCAAGUCUUGACAUCGAGAACAAAUUGAUCAAUCUCCAUCUUACCGUAUGAACCGGAAUUGGCUUCUCGUAAAGGCUCUCUAUGGCGAGAGGUUGCCGCUCUGGUGAGGGCUCUCUUCCACAAUUCAAAAACAACGAUACAAUCCAUGGGAACAUUCCACUCUAAGCACAACACACCCCCACCCACCCUCCCCUCACUACGAAUGUGCCAACUCCAAUAAGUAUAAGAAGAGCGGAAACAAAAUAAAAGUAGCCACAACAUUGUAUAACGCCUCAAGUUUAUAUAUGGAGUUAUUCAACAAUACCGCCCAAAUACAUCACAUCUGAACACAAACUUUGCUCAACUAGCAAACUCACAUGACCAAUCACCGAAAGAAGUAAUCAUGGCAAUGAAACGCAUUCAUUCUCUAUAAGGUGGUCAAUUGGGGUUCCUAGCACCUAGAAUCAUGCUACUAAGGCAAACCACGAAUCAAGGCAUGCUAGAGUUCAUAAUCACCAAGUCCAAAAAAACACCCUAAAACUUCUACCAAAAUUAUAAAAUUCUGAUGAGCUAAUCAUGCAAUUUCAAGGAGAAAAUUGUAUCAAUAGACUCCUAUCAUACCAAAUUUUAGUUUGGUAACCUAGAUUUCAUAAACCCCCAAUUUUGAAAAUUAAUGUUCAUCCACCUACAAAGCAAUUCAAUGAUUCUGUUUAAUUCACCCAAAUUCAAGCACUGAAAAUGAAAGUGAAGAGCUUUAGGGAUCUGCAUCUGUUAGUAGCCGUUGAAUGCACGGGAGAAACUAUCCAACAACAAUGAAAUCAAAAAUAAUUCAAACCGGGCAAAAAAAUCCACCAAACAAGCUCGAAACAUAACCAUAAUCAAAACAAUGUGAAGGGAGGAAUUAGGGACUGGUUCACGGGAACCGGCACAACGACGGUGGGCGGCUGCAGGCGUUGAUUUCGGGUGUUGGUUCGGCAUGGUUCACGUUUUAAUGGGGGAGGAGUUGUGCAAUUUUGGUUGAAGUCUGAAAAAGGGAGGGGGCGUAGGUCCGCGUUUUAAUGGCACAUUAUGCUCCUUAAAUAUUUUGUUUUAGGCGCCCAGUCUGACAUGGUUAAGGCGUAUUCCGUGACAAACUUUUAAUGAAUUGACACACUUUAACCCAUCACAACAUGCACCGUAAAUUGUUACCAGCUUAGGCGCAUAUUGUGACCGACUUCCAAAGAAAUGAUGUGCUUUAAACCAUCACAACGCCUUAAAUUAUUACCAAGUUAGGCGCAUAGUGUGGAAAAACUUGUCGAAACCUUUUUUUUAUGAAAAUUUAUAUGACCCGAGCAACACGACUAAUUCUUGCAGCUCAUAGGAUUCAGGUAGCAUCGUUCAAGACUCGAUUCACACCUCAACAUGCAUUUGGACUCAAAUAAAAUGAAAAAUAAUGACUUCAGACAUGGGCUGCCUCCCAUUAAAUGUUCUUUCUUUAACAUCUUUGAGCUAGACGAUACCUGGCAUUUCCUUCAACAUCGAAAAAAUAGUGAACCUCGACUCCAUCGGUAGGCUUGGUACUGAGAUACCACUUAAGAUAGUGAUCGUUUACCUUGAAUGUUCUUUGGUUCAGAUGUGUGAUCUCAAUGGUCCCCUAGGGAAAGGAUUGUGUGACUUCAUAUGGUCCCAGCCAUCUUGACUGUAGUUUUUCCGGGAACAGCCGGACGCGAAAUUUGUAGAGCAGCACAUUAUCCCCUUUAAGCAUCAAACUCAUUAACACCUUCAAGUUUAGCAUCAUGGAUGUGUUUCAUCCUUUCCUUCUAUAGCCACAAACUCUCAUAAGCAUGAAACAUGUACUCCUCUAACUCAAGGAGCUGAUGUUUGUGUUCUGAAGCUGUGAUACUAUCAUCCAUGUUUAGUACUUCAUAGCCCACCAAGCCUUAUGCUCAAGCUUGACCAGUAAAUGAAAAGCCUUUCCAUAGAUCAUUCUGUAUGAAAAAGCGCCGGUAGGAGUCUUGAACGUGGUUUGAUAAGCCCAUAGAGCUUCAUCGAGCCAAAUCAACCAGUCCUUGAAAGACUAAUCGAGUGUCCUAUCAAGAAUCUGCUUAAGCUCGCGAUUCGUCAUCUCUGCUUGACCGCUUGCCUUUGGAUGGUACGUGGUGGUCAACCUUGGAAGUCAUUGCCCAUAUCGGUAAUGAUAGCGUGAGAGGUGUCAAAACGCAUAAAAAGGUGUUGGAUAAACCUUCCCACUGUCCUAGCAUCGUUAGUAGGCAGUGCUUGUGCUUCCACCCACUUUUACAUAUAAUCCACAUCAACAAUAAUAUACUUAUUUCCAUGAGAUGGUGGGAAAAGGCCCAUAAAAUCAAUACCCCACACAUCAAACACAUCUAUAGGCAUGGAAAUAGUCAUAGGCAUUUCAUUCUUAUUUAAAAUUUUACAUGUACGUUGGCAAGCAUCACUGAUAGCAUGAUUAUUGGUAAUCGUUUUGACCCCACCUUGAAUAGUUUUUGCUCCAGUUUUGACGAUAUUUGAUUGUUAGAAGCGUCUGGUUUGAUCAUAGUUGCAUCUUAUGCUCGUUUCUUCUCGAACCGACCAUCUCAGUCCGUUUCACUUGUUUCUUGGAGUGUUUUCUUGAGUAUAGGUAUCUGUUGGACACAGGGUUUGACUACGAAGCCAAUGGUACUUUUUGGAGCGAAAUGAAAGUACGACUGAAGAAGUUAUGGCUGAAAGAAGUCAGGAGAUUCUGUUGUUGAGGAUUCACGGCAGUGACACAACUUGUCACGGCCGGGAUAGGUUACUGUCAAGGCCGUAAUGCAUAUUAUUGAUAGAAUUCUAUUUUAUCCCCAAUUUAUGAUUUUUGGGAGAAAGAAGCCAUGAAGAUAAACUAAACGCACAAAUUGACGAUGUUGUAAUUUCUUGGGAGCCUAGGAACACCAUGGGAAUGAAGAUUUAAAGCCAAAUAGCCAAGGAAUCAAAGCCCAACGUAGGAUCUACCUUCUACUUUGAUGGAUUGGUAGUUUGCAGCAUUCUCUGCAGCUUUUUUGGGUUUUGUGGAUUCCUUUGGAUUUAUGGGAUUGUUAUAGUAUAUAGUGAUAGGAUUGUUGAUACGUGAUGAUUGAUGAUGUGUUUGGCUAUCUUGUUGCCUCGAUUAUCUCAUUUCCAUUCGAUUCGCAGUUUUCUCAAUUUUCCUAUUUUGGGUUUUCUUGUGAGAUUGAUUGUUGAGUUGUUUGAGCGGAUGUUUUUAAGUGUUACAGAUGGUUCUAGGUCGUUGUGAUGACAGACCCGAUCUUUAGGACACAAAACAUGUUAUUAUACAUUUCCUGUCUAUUCUGCUGCUAUACAGCAAGGCCUUUUCCCCAUAGUCGUUCUCACCUUAGUUUUAUCCGUAGCCAUCGAGUGACCUAUUUGCAUCCUAGAUUUCCUGUUUCUUUUAGUUUGUUGCUCUAUUUCAUUUUAUAGUUUAGGACAAACCCUUUAAAAACUGUGAUUGACUUACCACCAAACCGAGGCUGAGUAGUGGAGGCCAAGUAGACCCUUUGAGAAAUCGACUAUGAGGUUAUACCUCAUAAUUUAUUUUGUUAUGACUAGGAUCAAUCUUAAUUCUUCACAUAUCUGCCACAAUCCUUCCAGACCGUCCUCCAGUAGAAACUCAUAUCCAAGAUCUCGCGAGCAGUGCAAUUUCCACUAUGAUAUCCCCCAGUGAGGCCGGUGUGGCAAUAAAGCAUGAUGUUAAACGACUCGUACAACAUGACACGUCAUCUGAUUACUCCGCCUAAGCCUGAAUGGUAGAGGUAAUGAUCAUCCCAAAUGUAGUGAUUGGCAUCAAAGACCAGUUUCAGCCGCUGCUGAUGAUUGUAAAUUUUAGAAAUUUCUCAAUAGCAACGAAGUUGGCUAUCUCGACAAACCAAGGGUGUUUGUUGGGGGUGAUGAUCCAAGAUUUGCUCUGCUUCUUCCAAGAGGAAAAACUGUUCAUCCGACAAGAGUUCAUUUAUCUCUGAUUCGGCAAAUUAACAUGGAGGAGGCCCUUCAAGUCAUGAUAGGUGGGCAUCUGUAAUGUUCUUUACUCUCGCCUUAUCUUUAAUGGUGAUGUCAAACUCUUGAAGGAGUAGGACCCAUCGAAUCAAUCUUGGAUUCGAAACCUGUUCAGAUAGAAGAUACUUAAGAGUAUAGUGGUUAGUAAAGAAAUAGUAUGGGACAACGCCAAGUAGGAGCGGAACUUGUCAAAUUUGAAAACAAUCCCGAGGAGCUCAUUCUCAGUAGUUGUGUAAUUUCUUUGUGCAUCAUUGAGCGUCUUUCUCGCAAAGUAGAUGGGGUGGAACGUCUUCUCUCUCUCCUAUCCUAUUACUUCUCCCACUGCAAAAUUACUAGCAUCACACAUUAGUUCAAAGGGAGCCUCCCAGUCCCGGGAGACCAAGAUCGACGUAGUCGUCAACUUCUUAUUGAGAAUAUUGAAUGCCUACAGAUAGUUGUCAUCAAAAACAAAUGGCACAUCUUUCUCUAACAACCUAGUCAUAUACAAUGUGAUCUUAGAGAAAUAUUAUAUGAAACGACGAUAAAAGCCAACAUGUCCUAAGAAGCUACAAACAAUAUUAACAUUAAUAGGGGUGGAAGUUGAGAGAUGGUUUCAAGCUUAGAACGAUCCACCUCAAUGCCUCGUUUAGAGACCUUAUAGCCUAGCACAAUUCCCUUUUCCACUAUGAAGUGGCACUUCUCCCAACUUAUAGCUAGAUGAGUUUUGUCACACCUUUUAGGACUUUCUCCAAGUUGGCUACGCAUAUGGAGAAGGAAUCUCCAUAGACAGCAAAUUCAUCCAUGAAGACUUCAACAACUAGUAAAUGCCCAAAGAUCGUUGUCAUACACCGUUAAUAGGUCGCGAGUGCAUUUCAUACACCAAAGAGACAUGUGCAAAAGGACAUGUGAAUGAAAUCUUCUCUCGGUCCUUUGGCUCGAUCGGGAUCUGGAAGUAUCCAAACAUUCCAUCCAAGAAAUAAUAGUACUCAUGACUUGUGAGGCGCUUGAGCAUCUAAUCAAAAAUGGUAGUGGAAAGUGAACCUUCUUUGUAGCGUCGUUGAGGCACCUGUAGUCAAUGCACACUCUCUAUCCAGUACCCGUUUGAGUAGGAAUGAGCUCUCCAUCAUCACUAGGUACAGAUGUGAAAUCCCCCUUCUUAGGUACAUCCCACAUAGGACUAACCCAAUGACUUUUAGAAAUUAGGUAAAUUAUACCUAUAUCGAGGAGUUUGAGUGCCUCCUUCUUCACAACUUCUUUCAUUAUUGGAUUUAGUUGGCUCUAAGGCUAUAUUAUAGGAUUGACAUAAGCUAGAUUCCCUUGAUGAGUGCAUAAAGAGGGGUUGAUUCCCUUGAUGCCGGCUAGAUUCCAAGCUAUGGCCUGUUCAUGUGGCCUUAACAGGGCUAGAAGCUUCACCUUUUGCUCAGGUUCAAGUUUCAAACUAAUGGUGACUGUAGUUUUGAAUCCUCGUGGAGAAAUGCGUACUCGAGAUGCUCUGGUAGUAGUUUCAGCUCCAACUCCGGAGGCUCCUCGUAUGAAGUAGUUAUCUUAAGGAAAGCUCCAAUAGUGGUGGGGAACUAGAGUAUGAUUCGAGUUGCUCAAGAGCUUUUGCCUGUGUCAUCUGCUCCAUAUCGUCCAUCCAUUGUCUAUAUACACAUGUAACAACACAAACAUCUCCAACAAGCAAAUGAGACAGCUCAUACAUUUUAGAUGCAUCCUAUGAAAUAUUAUCAGCAUCAUGAGCCUUAGAGUACUUAAUGCCAUCUAAGAGGGAGAAGUACUUGGCUCAAUUCUUUUAUUUCUCCUUCAUUGUUGAGCCAUUGAAGCUUGUAAGAUUUCAGGUGCUUCAUUAUGGGAAACCCCAUCUUCUCCUCAAGGAUGACACUUGCUAUGUUGGUGCAACUCCCUCCAUCGAUCACUAUAUUACACUCAAAUUUGUUGGUGCCGCAAUGGGUGUGAAAAAGGUUCUCUCGUUGUUGAAGAUCCUCCAUUGAUGCUAUACAUUCCACUAAUGUAUGUGAUGUCGAUUCAAGUCUUGUGCACUUGACGAGCAGCCUUGGUUUGUUACCUUGAUGUCGGUUAUUCAACUGACCUCAAGCUUCUGUCAAAUCUCCGUCAAUUGUUGCCAAACCUUGCAAAACAUCAUUACUGCAAAUAAUGGACAUCACAAAUCUCUCAACCUAAUAAAUGUUCUCAUCUCACGACUCAUUGUUCUACUACUCGUAUUUUACUUAAUUUAAAUGGAGAAAAAUUUAGAGAACUAAGUACUGUGAUCUUAAGGUCUUAGAGCUAGCAACGAUUUUUCUAGGCCUAUGACUCGCGAGAAAUAUCACCAUCAACGAAAUAAAAAAUUUGGGUCGAGCUAUGCUAGGUAAAAUUCUUUUCUAUCGUUUGUAGUUUGAAAACACUUUUUAGGUUGUAAGACACUCGAAAGUUUGAAAAGAAUUCUGCCCAAUCUCAAAACUAAUUUUACAAACCUGAUUUUCUGAAUAUGUGUAUGUUGAGGUGAUUGAAUGGGGGUUUCUGGCCUGUUUACUUUGCCAAUUUUCUAACUUUAUUAUGCUUUAAUUCUGGACGGUUUUACGUCCAAAAUUUACCACCUCAUUCUUUCGAUCAUGAACAAACACGUUAGACAACAAACACAAGGAUUGCCAACUUAAGAUAGGUAAAAAUCCAAAAAUCAGAAAGACCUGCCCAAAAUAGCGUUUUAGACGAAAAUAAAAAUUUUAGGGCUUUUUGAAUAUUUUUAUUCAUUUGAAAUUAAAGACAAAAAUGAAAGGGAUGCAUAGUUCUUAAACAUGAUGUAAAUUUUGAUACCAAAACGUUAUGAGUGGGAAAGCACAAUUAAAACAAUCAGGACAAUCUUCUAGAAAACGUUUUAAAAUGAUGAACGAAAUCCAACAACCAGAUGGGAAGUGGUAAUCUGACCAAUUGAAAAAUUCGAAGGGAAGUCCAAGUCUCAAAUGUGAAUGAUACCACAAAAAGAAGAUGAAAAUCCUACUACAAUAUAAUAAAAUCCUCUAGCUAACAACGACAUGCUUGGAAUAAAAUGAAAUAAAAAAAACAACAUAAGCCAAGAUUUACUUUAAUUAUUCUGGGGCUGGUGUUGACAACAAUAGCCUAAGCUCACCUUUCUUAAAUAAGUAGAGGGCUAACAAUUACACAAUGAUAAUAAGAGAAAGAGUCAUUGCCUUGCAAUGCAAGUAUCGUUCUUCCUUGCUUCGUAAGGAUAGAAAUCGGGCAAGGAGGUCUUUAAAAGGGCUUCUAGGACCUAAAUUAAACCAAUAAAGUCUAAAAAAUAGCCUUAAUAAAACUACUAAAAUGCGAUUAAAGAUAGAAGGCCACUUAAGCCCUCAGAGUGGGCUUAGUGAGUUGUAAGGUUGAUGGUGGGUAGUAUGCCUUGUCUCGAACCACAAAUACAUCCAAGGAGUCCCCUUGAAUGUAUGGUUAACUUAUGGGUCGAAAAAAAUAGGCCUGAGGUCGACAAUGUUGAAGAGGUCUUAUUUCGGCGGCAUCGAUGGCCACUGCGAUAUGUCCACUUGGUGGCCUUGAGUCUGACUCUUGAAUUUGAUAGUCUAAAUGAAUUGGAUGGAUUUCAUUUAAUGAAUAAUGCUUAUAUUCCAGAGAUUUCUUAACAAAUACUCUUCGUUUAGGCUAGGGCUCAAAUCGUGACGAUACUAUGAUAUAGGUGGGUGCAAUUUUCUGCAUCUUUGCACCUUCGUCUUCUCUAUUGCUCUUAUUUCUCUCGUUGUUGGCCCAAGGCUUGCAUGGCCGAAUGUAAUCGACCUUCUGCUCUUGCGUACGUGCCUCAUGAUUCAUAACUUCACUAGCCCCAACACUGCUUCAACCUAUAAGAUGGCCAGAAGGAUACCCCUUUCUAUGGCCUCCCAACUUUAGCACCUCUUUGGCCCUAGUCCGAGCCCAAGAAUGGAUCGAUCCUAUGUAAGACCCGUCUAGUCUCUCCCUAACAAUGAUCAUGGUUUGUGUACCAUUUAUGCCCAUUUGGAUUUGUUGUCUCCUCAUUUGGUUCUAACUUUGAUCUAUCAAAUAACACAUAGAACAUCGAUAUUUCUUCCUCCUCCCUUAUCUCCAUUGUUGGAAAACAAUAAGCUUGAUUCCUUCCUCAAAAUCAGUUCAAGAGAUACUUCUCUAACAUUUUGGUGUGAAGUCCUUAAAUCUUUACUUGAUUCUAGAACCGGGUCUGAAGUCCUCAUUAGUUAUUGGUACAUUACUCUUGUUCUUGUUGUUCUUGUCAUUUUCCAUUGUUUCUUUUCAUGAUGAUCUAAAUUACGAUGCAUGAAUCAUAUUCAACACAUGUUCUUCCAUAAUGAUUUUGUAACUGCAUUAUUUGGAAAAUCACGACUGUGAUUGCCCGUGCCACACCCUUGACUGAUGCACGAACCAUGGUUGUUAAGUAUUUACUCACGCCCAUGACUUGUCCACUUGCCAAAACCGUGAAACCUUCAUCACGGUCAUUCUAUGCUUAAUAGACAUGGCCAUGAGACCAUGCAUCAUGCAUGUGAACCUCUCCAAGUACCAAUUGCUCACUUGUUUCUUUCACAACCUUGGUUCAUGUUCCUGGCCUUAAACCCUGUUUGAUCUUGCAUCUCGUUGAUCCUUGUUCUCGUGAUAGUUCAUCCAAAUCAAAUACUAAGUCUGUUAUGUUUGUUUCUUGUUCUUGUCGCAGAUGGAUGAUGAGGGUUUGACAGGCUCGUAACAUGCGUUAUACCUUAUUACACGACCAAUCCUGGUAAAAUUCCCUAGAGUCUCAAUGUUGUGCUUACUCAAAUUGUAAAAAAUGCUAAUUGAAACGAUAAAAUAUAUGGUGUGAGUUCCACGAUUUCUAAAACUAUCAAUCAAGCUAAUAAACAAGUAAAAUGGGUGUGCAAGUAAUUUUUUUGAAAACAGAUGGAUGAAAACAGUUUAGAUUUCAAAUUCCCUAGGCUAUCAUGUCGAGCAUCAGACACUCAAUCAAAUUGAUUCAUGCAAAAACAAGGUAUAAACGGUCUACCGUCGUAGUUCUUCUAAUACUUAUAUGCUAAUUCGAGUCUUCCUAACCUACUAUCAAUCAUAGAGACUUAGAUCGCCCUCUCGAGUCAUGCAUCUAAGAUAUAUACAUUGAUUUAUGGAUCUAGACUUGCUCCUACUAUGGAGUAACCUAGCCGGCCCCCUCUUGGGUGAUACUGACCAACUCAGUUAAUGACUUUGGUUUUCUAAGACAUGAAUUCUCUUUCGAUAGAAACUCAAAUUUAACACUAUCCCAUUCAAGUUAAUCAUACAAGAACAAAAUAAUACUUAAAGUCAAUUAUAAACUGAAAAAUCUAAUGGAUUACAAAUAUCAAAAUAAUCAAACAUUAUUCGUUCAUCAUGGAUCGCCUAGGGUUCAUCUAAUCUUAUAAAGAAAGAUUUAGCAACUCAUAUUCGAAGAAAAAAUUCAAAACCAAAGAAAGAAUCCAUAGAAAUCAGAUUACAAUAAAUGAAUCUCAAAAACAUAAUUUUCCCAGAAACCAUAUUCGAAAUUAAGUUGUCGAUCUUGAAACAAGGUUCUCGAAGAACAUGUUUCUCAUCACGUGGAAGUCUUUAUCUCUAUCCAGAAUUCGUCCAAAAGCUCUGCCCUUGGAUGAUUGGAAAAUCGGUGCUUUUAUAGAGACUGGAUCCUAACUGAUGAAGGAACACAAGAUUUGUGUCUAUGAUGGUCAGAAAUUGCGCCAUAAACUUUAAUAAUGUUAGACCCAAUUGUUGUCUCUGAUCUGACCAUGGACUGUUGGUCGGAUUGGGGCCCAAUGCUGGUAAAACUUAACAUGCAAAAUUAUGUAUGUUAUGCACCAAUCUUACCCAUUUUAAUAGAUUGUAUUUUGCGGACUUCGAAAUUAUCUUGGGCAAUUCUUGCACACCACAUCACUUUGCCUUGAUGCCCUAAUAAUGCUGAAUAAUUGAAAAUCUAUUAAAAGCACUUCAAAACGACAUCAAAUUGACCCCAAACGGGUAUGAGACACUAAAUUGAGAUAUAAGUCUUAACAUAUGUGAAACACCCUAAACUUCUAUUUGAAGUGAGACAACUAUGCAUGAUAUAAAUCAAACGUUAACAAAUAACCCCACAGUUAACCUUCACUUGUCUUUAAGCAAAAAGCUGAUAAAAGCCAUUGAUUACAUCUACAAUUGAUUCAAUUAGGCUAUCCUAGCAUUCUAGACCCAAACUCCUUAAUGUUACCCUAGACUACACAACAAGGAAGUGAAACUUUAAAAAAAUAUAAUCUAGAUAUUGAAGGCCUAACAAGAAGGACCUCUCCAAAAAGAAAUACGUCAAAUUGGGGGCCUGAAUAUAAUGAAUUAAUCAAAAGACACCGUUUUGGCCUAAAGUCCUAUCGACUAGGUUUACAAGCAAGUAAGCGGACUGUGUUAAAUGAUCAUUGGAAGUAUAAUAAGCUAAGUUAGGCAAUUGAUUCAAAGACGCUACCAACAAAUUUUGAGAUUAGAACAAUCAUACAAACAAGACCACAAAACAAACAAGCGAACAUGUAUCCUACAAAACCCCACACUUAAGUUGGGCAGUGCCCUCACUGGAAAAAAAAUGAGAAGAAGAGUAGGAAUACCUAGAAGUUGUAAGAGACCGGAGAAGUGUGAGAAGUCGAAAGAUGGAUUGCUCUCAAUCAGCGGUGACACGAACAACCUGAAAAGACCCAACAGAUAUAAAAACCAAAAUGAAAGGUCAUAAGGAACUAGGACAGGUGUCCAAACUCUACACACAACAAAAUGGAUCUAAUAUCAAAAGAGAAACCUUGUCGCUAGUACGGUGGAGGCUGCCGGAAAGAUUAAGGAAGGUAGUUGAUCGUCCCCAAAUCCUACUAGAGUACAAACUAAGUCACAAGUGUCAUACUUCUUAGGGUCCUUCUCACUGUGAUUUACUCAAUUUGGAGUCCAUAGUGAGCCACUUGGUCGAGGAGUCCCUGCUGCUCGUAUAGCUCUCUUCAAUGACAUUUGCUCCUAAGGUUCUAUAGUUGAUCAUAGAAGAAGAAAGAGAUGGGGUCAGUGAUAAGCACUAAGUGGCUAAACUAGACUCAUGUAGAAUUAAACUAACAUCUAGUAAUGGGACCCUAUGGUCUUAUAGGCAUCAACCUAACAUCAGCAACCACUAGUUGUGAGCGGAAAACCUCAUGGUGGAUUAGACCAUGAAACCAUCUUGAAUACCAUGUGAGCAGCAUCUGUAGGCAUACUCAACACGUCAUGAUUGAGUCUGAUUAUAACCUGGGGGAUUGCACAAUCCAUGGGAGGGUGACCAACGCAUAAUUGGGAGCUAAUCUAGGUAAGCCUGAUCAUGUCCUAACAUGAACGGUGAAUCACACGCCAUGUUUAAAACGCCAAGAGUUUCUGCUUGAAAUUUAAUAAUUGGGGGCUGAAUAAUUCCUUCAUGGUUGUAGCGAGCCCAAGGUUUCAAUUGAGAGGACUAAAGAUCCGCCUAUGUCAAGGAUGGAUUUCAAGGAGCUGACUUAUAUGGGUGUCAUCACCUUCGAUAGAGAGUCCACAUGUCCUCAGUUAGCAGCAGACUGACUGAGAAAGCUGACGAAUGCACUCAAGUAUUUGAGACCUGUGCCAGAGCUUAGAGUGUUGUAUGUUGCUUACCUGUUGAGAGGUACAAUGAAGGAGUGAUGGGAUAAUCAGCUCGAGGUUGAGGGAGACUUCUUGAGUCAAGAUUGGGUGGACUUCCCGAUCUUAUUUAAGAAAGAGUUCAUGCCAGAGUAGUAGCAGAAAAAGAAGAGGGCUGAGUUCAUCCCAGAAGAGAGGGGUCCUACAGUUCCUGUCGUAGAGGGCCUCAAAUGGACCUACUCGAUGUUGUGAUGAUAUGAGGUGUUAUAAUCGAACUACACAAUCGGUAAGACCUUUAACCAAGGUCAUCAAAUUGAAGUACAAAUCAGCGAAGCAGCUCCUCCAAGGUUAAAAUGGUAUGCUCUGACUGGCCAUCUGUCUGUGGGUGUAAGCUGAAGAGAAAUUCAUCUUUGUCCCCAAGGCUGCAUGUAAACCCCUCCAGAAAUGCAAGGUAAAACUAGGUUCCCGAUCCGAUACGAUCGUCAUGGACACUCUGUGCAACCUGACAAUGCGCUCCACUUACAAACUUGCCAACUCCUCCAUAUCUGGCUUAAAUCGGCUUAAAUCGGAUGGAAAUGAAAUGAGAAACGUUGGUCAAAUAGUCCACUAUGACCCAAACUGCAUCUUUCCCGUUAACCAAGGGAAAACCAGUAACGAAGUCCAUACUGAUAUCCUCGAACUUCGACAUCGCUAUUGGCAAGGGAUGAAGCAACCCUCCCAACGCCCGAUAAGUAACUUUGCCUUCUGGAACCCCACACAACUGGCCACAUGUUCUAUCACCUACUUCUUCAUGCAUGGCCACUAGUAGUGAGGACGAAGUUUUUAGUACAUCUUCGUCUCACCUGGAUGCAUAGCAUAAACAGAUUAAUACACCCUUUCCUGAAAAAGCAUAACGCCUUCCUUCCAAGUAUAGGGUGUAGCCUUGCCCAUUGACACCAACUGCUGAGCCUCCAAGACUAGCUCAUAUGUCGCAUGAGCCUCGGAAAUCCAAUCCAGCAAAAAUGGUUGCACUACCAAUCUCGCCAGCAACCCCUUGACUAGAUCAACCUCCAACAUAGCGCCCAUGCUCCUCAUCUCGACUAGCUGGGUCAAGUUCUCUUUCAUGCUCAAGGCAUUAGCCAGUACAUUGGCCUUCCCUGGGUGAUAAUCUAUCAUACAGUCGUAGUCCUUGAGAAGCUCUACCCAGCGCCUCAGUUUGAUGUUCAACUCCUUAAGCUCCAUAAAGUAUUUGAGAUUCUUGAGAUCAAUCUUAACCCUAAAAGUCUCACCAUACAAGUAAUUUCGCCACAGCUUCAAUGCGAAAACCACCUAUGCCAGCUCCAAAUCGCGAAAUGGGAAAUUCACUUCAUGCACCUUCAGCUGGUGAGAUGCCUACACCAUCACUCUGCCAUCCUACAUCAUGAUGCAGCCCAACUUUGAAUACAAGGUAUCACUGUAAACCACAUACUCACCCUCAGCAACCGGCAAGGUAAGUACUGGUGCAGUGGUAAGCCUCUUCUUUAGCUCCUCGAAACUCUCGUGGCAAGCCUUAGUCCAAAUAAAAGACGUGUUCUUCCUGGUCAGCUUAUAGAGUGGUCUUGCUAUCUUAGAGAACCGCCAAUAAACCUUCUGGUGGUACUUUGCCAUGCCCAAAAAAACUCCUCAGUUCGAUCGCGCUAGUGGGCGGUGACCAAUUCACAAUUGCCUCUGCCUUCCUCGGGUCCACCUCAAUUCCCCGAACACUUAUCAGGUGUCCCAAAAACAACACCUCCUGCAGCCAUAACUCACACUUAGAUUGCUUGGUAUAAAAUCACUCCCUCCUCAAGGUAGCCAAGACUGCUCUCAAUUGCUCAACAUGCUCCUUCUCCAUCUUUGAGUAGACCAAGCUGUCAGUAAUUAAUACUAUGAAACACUUGUCCAAGUACCCAUUCAUCACGUUUUUAUCAUCGCCAUGAAAGCUGUAGUGGCGUUAGUCAACCCGAACGGCAUCACUAAGAACUCGUAGUGGCCAUACCUCGUUCGGAUAGCUAUUUUAGGAACAGCUUCCUCUGCUACCUCCAACUGUUGAUACCCCACCCUUAGAUGAAUCUUACUAAACAUAGCAGCUCCCUCAAGUUGAUCGAAUAAGUCAUCAAUGCGCAAAAGAGGGUAUCUGUUCUUGACUAUCACCUUAUUCAACCUCAUGUAAUCUAUGCAUGUCCACAUAGGCCCAACCUUCUCCUUCUCUAAUAUCUCCUACAACUGCUCCUUGAGCUCCUUCCAUCAACGGGCGUCAUACUGUAGGGUGCUAUGGAUAUAGGUGUUGUGCCUGAUGCUUGUUCUAUAUCGAAAGACACCUCUUGCACAAAAGGCACCACCCGCAAGUCACUUGAGAAAACAUCAGGGAACUCUUGAAGUACUAACACCUCUUCUAUACAACCCUUUGCAUCAAGGAGGAUAUGAGCUAGGAAAGCCUCAAAUCUACUUCUGAUCAGCCUCUCUGCCUUCAAGGGAUAAAUGAAGGAACGCCCGUGGUGCAUCUACCCCUAAAUCCCGAUGAGGACCCUCAUUCUCAGGUAUAAAAAACAUGCUCGUCUUCUUCUCACAAUUCACCAUGGCUCCAUGGUGCUCCAAAUAUUACAUCCCCAAGAUCACAUUGAACUCAUCAAAAGAAAGAACGAUGAGGUUUGCUAUGAACUCCUUGUCCUCAAAGAGCAUAACUACUCCCUCUACCCAAGCCUCCACCAGCAAAGUCUUCUCUAUUGGGUACUAACUCUAAAUGAUCUACUCCUCCUAGUAGGAAAAAGGGAAAAAGAUUAACGAUAGAGGCAGAGAUGAAAGAGUUCAAAGCACCGGUAUCAAACAAAGCAAGAAACGAUUUGCUAGAAAUGACAAUUGUACCCAUGAUAGUAUCUGAGGCGACCUCUGCCUCAGCUCUGGUGGCAUACACCCUACUCUAUGCCUUUGUAUCCUCCCUUGUAGCGUCCCUUGUCCCAAGGAACCGCAUUGUCCCCUGUAAGCGGAGCCUUAGAGCCUCCACCUUUGAUCCUACUCCCAGACAGAGUCAUCCCUACUGCACCAUCACCUCCAACACCGAGGGCUUGCUCAGCUCCGAUGCACUCCCGAGCAAAAUGACCUGACUGCUCGCAUCAAAAGCAAACUCUUGAUUUCUUCAGGCAUGCUCCCAGUGUCGCAUCCCACACUCCGAGCAAGGAGGAUAAUUAUAUCCUAUAGUGGACUACUUCUGCUGCGAUGUCGAGGUGACAGAGGCAACGAAGUGCGCAUGUGGUGCAAGAAUACCGCGAUGUGUCCCUCCUCCUCUAAGGUAUCGAAGAUAGCUGUAACUUGCCUGAAGCUACCUUUCUCUUCUUCUCCUCCUGCAAUGUCUGGCAUUGUCCCUUCAUCACAAUUUCAAGGUGCUCAGCCCUCAAGGAUGCUACAUUGAUGUUUGCAUGGGUGUCCAUAUCACUUUUGGUCACUUCGACCUGAAUAUGAGCUCUCAUUCGAUCCAGGAACAUCUCCUUCAUGUCCUCCACCUUCUGCUCAGGGGAGUCCUUGUACCACCUGCUCAACUUGAUGAAGGCGCUAUGGUAAUCAACCACCUUCAUAUCUCUUUGUCUGAGGUUGAUAAACUCAGGUCUCUUGUUCUUCUGCCACUGCUCUGUCAUGACCUCUUUCUUGAAAAGAAAUAUGAAAUCAUCCCAAUCCUAUCCAAAUAGGUCAUCUUCAACCUCUAACUAAUUACUCCACCACUCCUUCGCUACACCCCUCAAUAGGUAGGCGGCAUACAAAACUCUCUAUUCUGGCACAGGCUUCACAUACUUGAACGUGUUAGUUAGCUCUCUUGACCAAUCAACUACCAACUGAGGAUAUGUGGUAUCCCCAUCAAAAGUAAUAGGCCCACACGAGUCAGCUCCUUGAAAUCUAGCCUAGGUGCUGGCGGAUUCCUAAUCAUCUCGACCAAUUUCUCGUGAUCACUACACACAAAAGGUACUAUUCGGCAUCCCUUUCAUUUUAAACUUAUCUCUGUUUCUAGAAAACGUUAAAGACUGUUCAAAACUCGACCAGCCCCAUGGUGUAUAUACUACUAUACCCGUGGUGUAACCUCUGUCACGCCCGUGGUGUACAUCUGACCACGCUCGUGACUAGUAUCACCACGCUCGUGGUAUACAUAUGACCACACAAGUGGUGCACAUCCCCCUUACGCAUGUGGUCAAUGAUUAACCAUGCCCAUGGUCGCCAGUAAGUCACAUAUGUUUCCCACAACAAGCCAUGUCUUAAUGGUAUGUCCAUCACGCCCGUGGUGGUCUGUCAAUCACGCCCGUGAUGUAUUGUUCGACACGCCCGUGCCUGACUCUCCGCUUCAAAAUCACAGAAUCAUCUCCCAAGAUUGUUCGGUACUAAGCUACUGUAAGCACUGGUCGCUUUGAGGUUCAUGACACCUCAGUACCAACAAGUACAGUCACAUAGUAGAGAAAAACUAGGCUCUGAUACCCAUUAUGAAACCCGCCCCUAGAUGACCCGAUCAAACCACGCGGUUCGACCCAUGCAACUACUAGUGUGUUCACUCAUCAACAUAAACAUACUUAACAAACGUAUAAAUAUUGAAACAUGAAACUCCUCAUAACAUCAUUAACAUUGGCAUAUGAAAUCAGAGCAUCAAUGGCUCGAAAACAAGUACAAAACAACAAUGAAAACGUCCAAAAGUAGGGGAACUCAACAUCUAGAGAUAAAUACUAAAACAUCUAAAAACAUCUGAAAUCCUCGAAACAUGAAAAACGAUAAAUGAGGUCCUCCAAGGUACCUCUCUCUAUGAAUCCCAUAGUCACUCUGUCGAAGUGUCGCUGCUGCUCGGGUAGCUCUCUUAUGCGGCAUUUUCUCCUGAGGUUCCAUAGUUGAUCAUGCAAGAAGAAAGAGACGGGGUCAAUGAUAAGCACUCAGUAUCUGAAAUAGACUCGCAUAGAACUAAACUAACAUUUAGUAAUGCGACCCUGGCAUCCCCAAAAUGGCAUAAAAAAUUUGUUCCAAGAGAGAUGAAGACUCAAGGAAAGGAUUGAAACGAAACGCAAGGAAGGAAAGGAAACAAAAUUGCAACAAGGAAAGUAACAACUAGCACCCGAAAUGAAAAAGCAAAGUUUAUUAAGAAACUACAUACAAUCCAAGCAUUCCACAUUUGAAAAAUCACAACAUUGAGCUUCAAAAGAUAGAGAGAACUUCACAACAAGCAUUAAAGCAGAACAUUUAUCAACGCAAGAGAUCGUCACAAAUUGAAACAAACGAUAGCGGUACAAGAUGCAACAAAAGCAACUGAGCAAAGUGAGAGCAUCAAAUAAAGCACAAAGUUGUAGAAAGUACAGCAAUGCAAUCCAAUAGUAGAAUUGAAAAUCAAUAUUGAAUGUUUAAGCACAACAAUUCAAUUCCAAUCAACAAAAUCAAACAAAAAUAACAUCACAAGUCUUCCCCAAAUUUCACAACUUGAAAUGAAAAAUUGGAACCAAAAUCAAACAACAAUGAAUCCAUCCCACACUUGAGAGUGUGCAUCCAUGCAAACCAAAAAUGGACAAACAAAAAAUAUGGAAAGUAUGAGCAAUAAUGGGGUAAUUCAAUCGACAACCAAUUCAAAACCAAAACAGACCAAAAAUCAUAUUACCAAUAGAAAUCCCAAAAUUUCAAGCACAAAAAUUGAAAUAAAGAACAACCAAUCAAUCAACAAUGGAACAAAUCAACAAGGAAACCUAGAAAUUGAAAUAAGAAUCAAAGAUAACCGGAAUAAAAAAAACCUCGGGGAAUGGUGACUCAAUUAAGGAGAGGAGAAGGGAGGGGGUGGCCGAGGCUAGGCGACGGCGGACGAAAACUGAGGAGGCGGCGUUGGUUAGAAAUUGUCAGAGGGUGGGGGUUAUGUUGUCUUAUUGCAAAAUACGUGGGAGGGGACGUUCUGUUGGUGAACACGGGAGGAAGAAUAUUAGGGGGAGAGUCUCACAAAUUUUUGUUUCAUUCCUACAAAGGAAAAACACGCACGAUGCAAGUGAACCUGCACUGUUGGAUCAAAAUGGGAAAAUAAUCAGAUGGUUGAAAACUUAGUAAAGGUCAACUCAAAAAUGUUUUUGUCUCAUCCGAGACCGGUUUGGGUUAAGAGGUUCAUGUUGCUAAAAAAACAAGGUAACUCGACGUACUGGGAUACACUGGUGAAUAACCUAUAUAGGGGAACACGGAUCCGCUUCCAUUUUAGGCAACAUGGAUGGGGUCAAUGGUGUUUCUUCACACGAGCUGAGAACACGUGUUGAACAACACGGAUGUGUCAACCAUGUUUCUUCACAUGAGGUGAGCACAAGUGUUGAACAACAAGUAACAAUGUACAAAUCAUAUACUAAGAUAUGGUUUAGGUGCCUCACGAGAGCGCUCCUUUUACGUCACUGGCUUGACAAAACCAAGGAAUCUGAGAGACCUGUCCCAACUAUGGACUUCCUUCACAUUGGUCUUGGCCGGCUUGAGAGAGGGCUUGGAAGGAAACCUUCUUACGCUUCACUCCUUGGGUAUCGACAUUCUUCUCCUGGUUGUCUCUCGACAUAUUUUUAGAUCCCUUAUCUGGUGGAAUCGUCCCACUUCGAAUCAUCAUCCUCUCAGGUGCCCUUAUUGAUUCUAUCACUUGAUUCUUGCACACGAUCCGUCAAACACAACUCCGUAGGAACCCGAUGAGCAAUGUUAGUACCAUUGCUAGCCGAAGCAUAACCAAAGAAAGGUUUGGGUGGAUGGUUAGUAUCUUGAGAUAGGGUAAAAUUCCUACCCUAGGAACGACCAAACACCUUGAAAUUAUUAUCUAACCUAAGAUCAAAGGCAUGUCAUAACUAGCAUUGGUGUCUAUCACCACAAAGUCAACCAAAAACUCAAUGUUACCAACUUGCACCAACACAUCCCCAGCGAUGCCACAAGGCGUGCUUGUGGACUGAUCCUCUAAUUGGAGGCUCAUGCGCGUCAGCGUAAGGUUCCCUAAACCUAAUCACUCAUACAUGAAAUAGGGCAUCAGAUUUAUCCAGGCUAAUAGAUUAGCUAGGCCUUUAUCUAUUGCAAGCAAGCUAGUAAUACAAGGGAUAGUGAAACUACCUGGAUCUUCGGUCUUCUCGGGGGUGGUGCUUUAGAGGAUGGUGGACCACUAUGUUUUUAUAAGAUGUUUAUUUCGCUCCUUUGUCUUCUACUUGUUAAGAAUUUGAGUGAUGGUGUUGCUAUAUGUCGGUCUUGCCAUAAUGGUCUAUUGAAAGGACUUCACAAACUCUUGCUUUUUGCAUAUCUGGAAUACUCUUGUAAAAUGAUCCUCUAUGGAACUUUCUUUGGGCUUUGAUAGACCAGGGGCUAUCAAUUUAGGUGGCAAACUCGACUAUGAGGUGUAUAGAGUCGGAGUUGCACUUGUUGAAGCGAUGGAGAGCGGCCUUGGCACAUUCAUCUUUGGGACUUCGGGCAAGCUGACAUUGGGUUCCACCUUGAUGCGGAGGCACAUUCACGAUGUUCAUGGCCAACAUAUCUUCCUUCAAUUUUGGGUUCACCAUUGUGUUUCAAGUAAACACGCCGGUUCAGAAACCCGAGAGGGUCUUGGUGAGGUGACCUACUUCAUUUUGAACCUCCAUCAUGUUGGCUCGAGUGGUGAUGUCAAGACUGUCUUGGUAUGCAUGUUGGUCUUUGACUUAUCAUGAUGAAAUGUGCUUUAGUCUUGGAGCAUCUUGAGCACAAUGGUAUUUUCUGUUGAAGACUCUCCGAUUUGAGUAAUCGAAUACUGGAGUCCAGGAAGAGGUGCUGGGACAGCAAGCAUGUUUGAAGCAUGAUAUCUACAUUGAUUGUAGCCUUGGUUAUACCUUUGAUGCUGAUAGUUCCUUUAGUACCCUCCUUGGUAUCUGUCUUGAUAUUUGAGGUUCAGAUUUCCUUGGUACCCUUGGUUGUUGUAGUGUUGGUAUCGUCCUUGAUACCCUUGUCUUUGAGGUGUCCCUUGGCCUUGAUUCUACCCUCUGUAUCCUUGACUACCUCAUUGGAAGUUCUCUUGAUUUCUGUAUUGAUUGUUUUAAGGUUGGUAGUUUUGUUAAACACUUUGGUGUACCGCCUAUGAAACUAAAUGCUUAAGCAUAGCCGACUUCCUCCACAAAUUCUUCAUCCAAUUCGAAAGCUAGACAAAUUUUCUAACACAUUGAAGCAUCGUGUCCCUCAUUUCCAAAACUCUCACAGUCAAAGAUUUGGGCCACGGGGCCCUUCAUUUUCCAAACUGAAAGUUGUGUAACCUAUGCGGGAGCACGACCUGCGGGAGCAAGACCUUUGUCCCUGGUAUGGUCAUCAUCUUGGAAACUGUGAGAGAGCUGAUUGUAGAGCCAGUGGCAUCGAGCUUGGUAAGCACCAUGUGUGAUGCUUCUAAUAUAUCAUAGUCGGGUGGUCCUUGUCACUCUAUAAAGGUCUUGAGCUUGAAGUGCGUGUGGGACACCUACGUGUCACCUUCGUCACUUGUCUCCUGAAAUUUUGGUCCUUGUUUCCUAGCCCAACUCUUAGUCUUGGUAGGUAUUUCUUAGAAAAAUUCCAUGCACCUUCUUGGGGUGAGGUUUCUCAAGUCUCAGUCUGCUGAUUGGUUGAUGAGCUUGGUAUUCUAUGACUACAUUGGGUUCCUAACACCAUAGUGUCUAAUAGGGACCCUAGGCUCCCCAAAUCCUAUUAGUGUAAGACUUGAGUCAAAAGUUUUGUUAUUGUUCUUUGGAUCCUUCUCACUAUGCCUCUACUCAAUUGGAAGUCCACGGUCUAUGCUAAUGAGAGGGGGCUCAAAAUGAUCUUUGGUUGCCGAGUUAACAAACUAGACAAAAUCAGUAAAGGAAGAUACACAAAGGGUCAAACAGUUGGAGAAGUGGAAAGUUACUAUGUCGAGAUUGGUUCGUUGCUCAAAUCACUUUAAGUACGGGGUUGAAUACGAUUGAAAGCUAAUAUCGGUUAUGCAUUUCCACUAGGAACUCGUAGGAGAGCAUGCCACGUACCAUGCACAUGCCUCGCAUCACCUUCACCCCAAAGUUAUCCCUUUUGGUAAUAAACACCAAGUAUUCGACAAAAAUGCCUAGGUACCUAGAUUGCCUUUGGAGACGUUACAACCAUUUAGCUAGGGUUCUAAGUCACUAUUCAGUCAAUCACUUAAUUGUGUCACUCAAUUAAGUGCUUGCUAGAAUGCCCGCCAAGUAUUCCAUGAAAAGUCCACAAGAAAAUCCUAACACUAGACGUAGAAUUGGGGUAUGGUUUGAUCCACACACACUCCCUCAUUAAUUAUGGAAUACAUACAAACACAUUCCUACGAAAAGAAUGCAUACGAACACAUUAAUUUGACCUAACACAAGCCAUAAUGCAUAUUAGAUUGCACACACCAUAGUUCAAGUACAACAUAACCAUAAAUUAAUAUCCAAACAUAGCCAACUCUACACUAUUUAGAAAAUAUCAUUGCAACACCAUCAUCAAGACCUAAUAACAAUCACAAAGUAGCCUACCAUAUCAGAGGAGAACAAGAGGGGAGAAGAGAUGAAGAACACCAUCUUGGUUGUUUAGGGGAUUCGAAGUUGGAGAUGGAUCCAUUCAAAGGGUUACUGGCCAGAUUGGUAGUAUAACCCUUGUUGCUGGAUCGAAUUACUGAGGUUCAGGCGACAGACAAGUUGGUGAUGAGGACUCAUCAACUGGUGUCAGCCGGCAAGUUUACACCCUACACUUGGAACGAUGGUGUGAUGCUCUUCCAAUACAGAGUGUAUGUACCUUUGGGGUCAAAACUGAGAGAUGAAUUUUGGAUGAGGAGCAUUUGUCAGCUUAUUCCAUGCACUCAUAUGAGACAAAGAUGUACUAACAUAUGAGAGAUAAAAAUUUCCUUAAUUUAGUUUAAUUUUUAUUUACUAAUUUUUUCUAUUAAAUUACUUUUUAUACAUUUUUGUUUAAAUAGUAUUUAUUUUUAACGGACGACAUUUGAUAUGUCAAUUUCAGGUAAGCUUUAUUUGUAGUUUUGCUCUGUCAAGCAGAUCAAACCAUGUAUGGAACUUAACGGAUAAAUUUAAUAGCACAACAUGAUUUGAAAAGUUUUCAAUAACUCAUGACACCUCAAAUAAUGUCUAAAAGUUAUAUUUAUUCACAUAAUUUUGUGGAAAGUCAUAAUAUAUAGGCUUAUUAAACCUAUAUUAUAAUAAUGAUGAAUUCUUCCGUUUUUAGUAUGCUCAAUUUGUACUAGAUAACGUACAUACAUCAUCAAUGUCCAUUUUAAGUUUUUUUAUCUCAACGAUUGCUGAUAAAUAUAAUUUUAAAAUCUUAAUUAUACAUAUCAAUAUGAUCCCAAACUUUAAAUAAUUUUACAAACUCACCACUAUAAUAAAUUUAUCUACAAACUAUAGUUCCUCAAAAAUCAUAUUUUAUAAAACACUCUAAUCAAUUUCUUAACAAUUUGAAUCAAACUAAAAAAAACUUCAUCUUCUUCAUUUGAUGAUAUCACGGCAAGUAGAUGCUAAAGAUUUACAAAAUCAUAUACAUAGAAACUAGCCGUCGGCCGCUCCUUAUUAUUACACUAUAAUAUUAUAUAUAGUUUAUUCUGUGGAAAGAUGAAUGCUCUCGAAAACACUCUAUUUUCGCAAUCUGAGGCGAGCCCUGGCCAGGUCAAGCUCCGGCUACGGGUAAGCUCAUGUUGGGCAACACUUGGCAAGGUCUCCGGCGAGGAUACCUAGUAUCUAAGCAGUUCAUUUUGGAUCGGGGCGUUCUUUUAUUCUUGUCUUUCUAAAAUUCCUUCAUUCGCAAAUCUUUGUUGAGGGGUGUGCUCCUUCGUCGAAGUCGUUCUGCAGCGGGUGCGCUCCUGCAGGGGGUUCCGAAGGUAUUGUAUUGGACGGCAACCACCUGGCGUGCUCCGCAUUUGCUCUUCUCUCUCCCCUAUUUAGUUCUCUGAUUGUCGGGUGGCUCUGUUUUGAUGAGUGAAAACCCUAAAUCCUGGGUUGAUCUUUUCUUGGUGUUCAAGGACCUCAAGCUCAAUUUUGUUGAACCGGAGUUUAUCGAUGGCGUCCUUCUGAUUCCUUAGGAAGCAGAGGAUGGAGGCCUGGAACGAUUGAAGUUCUUCCUUAUUGCAUAAUUUCUUGGUGAUCCUCCUACUGUGCAAUGGAUAAUGGACUCUUCUUGUUUCAGUUCCCUUACAUGGAAAUCUAUGAUUGAUUGCUCAGCUCAGGUCCUUAGCAUAUGAAGAAUUCAUCGAUGGGGAGCUGAUAUCAAGCCAAUUGCAAAUACUUAUGAAGUGAAACCUGUCUGGAUUAAACUCUCAAAUAUUCCUAUUCCAUUGCAAUCCAGAUCAGGGUUAAGUAGAUUGACUAGCUCCAUUUGGAAACCUUUCAAUAUGGAUAUGAUUACGAAGGAUGUAGUUGCAUCUACAACAAAGGUCUAUGUUGCUAUUGAUGGUGUUAAGGAAUUGUCUAACUCUAUUUCUCUAUAUGUGGUGGGUGGUCCCUCUAUAUAAGUGAAUGUUGAAUACAUGCAGAUGACAUUGAAAUGUACUUGUGCUAUCUUUGGUCCAUGUCCUUGUGUGGGGAUUAAAGAGAAGGGGAAGACUAAAGCAUGAGUACCUAAACUACAAAAGGUGAUCCCUAACAUCCAAAAUCCUCUUCUCCACUUAUAGUGGAAGUGAAUCCUAUCACUCCAGAGCCUAAUAAUGACAAAGGGAAGCCUCAGAAACCCCUGGAGGAGGAGGGACAAGGUUCUGGGAAGGGUUACUCUAUGACAAAAUCUGGUAAUCAUCUCUCAAAGACCCUGAUUUCUAAGAAGAAAGUUUCAUUGGUUGUUGAGAAUCAAAGCAAUCUCGCAGGGAGUUCUAUUGAUAUGAUUUAUGGUAAGGGUCCUUCCUUUUGUUAAUGGUCGCAAUCGACGGUAAGGUCGAUGAAAAUUCUUACUUGGAAUUUGCGGGGGUUUAAUUCCCCUAAAAAGCAUAGUUUUUUAAUUUCGUGCUUAAAUAGAUACAAUAUAGAUAUAGUAGCUAUUCUAGAAACUUGACUUAAAAAGGAGAAAUUUGAUGAGAUUUUUGCUAGAACCUUCCCUUCUUGGAACUUGCUUACAAAUUAUGAUUCUAGUCACUUGGGAAAGAUCUUGCUGUUGUGGAAAUCUAGUAUCAAGUGGAAUUUUAUUCGGUAUUUAGAGCAAUAUAUGUUGGUGGAAAUUGAUGAUUUCUCAAAAUUCUGCAUUUUGUUUGUCUAUGGUGCUAAUGCUGAAGGUGGCCGCCCCAAGAUGUACAUGGAUACUUUUAAUAUCAUUAAAAGUCUAACUUCACCCGUGGCUAUUGGUGGAGAUUUUAAUGUAAUACUUGCUCUUUCAGAAGCGGCUAAUGAAGUUUGUAUCACUUGUAGUGUGGAGAAUUUCAUGAAUUGGGUGAAUGAAGCUAGCUUGAUUGAUCAUCAGUUCCAGGUCUUGUGUUCACUUGGAAAAAUAAUAAGAUUGAUGCUCCUAUUGCUCGAUGUCUUGAUCGAUGUUUUGUUAAUGUAGAGUGGUUAAAUGUCAUUCCUGAUACUCGUAUUGAGUUGUUUGCCCCAGCGGUCUCUGACAACUGUGGAAUUUUUAUUGGCACCGAAGGUAAGCAGGAUACCUUUCCUGUCAGUCGUAUAGCGAUUUUAGCAUUCUAAAAAUAACUCAGCUAAUAAAUUAACCGGGUCAAAUCUCCUUAUGGUCUCUUUUAGUAUCUUACUCAAAGUUGUAAUUAGUAUCAAUCAAGGUAUACUAAUGUAGUUUAGGUGCGAUGAGGAUCAAUAAAAAAAUUAAAAUGAUAAUGAAAUUUUCUUAAAAGUAAAUGAUAGCAAGACUGCACGAUUAAAGUGUUGACAAUCAAAGAUGAAACUGCUUAGAUGUUGAAUCCCCCUAUGCAAUUCUAAUUCACAUAUGACAGACAAGGUCCACGAUUUACAUGAAAUAGGAUAGAUGCAAUUCUUCUAUAAUCAAAUCAUGCCCUUUCGGGGCCGCUAAUUUGCUACCUAUCUAGUAUUUUAGUCCACUCUUUCGAGACAAAGAUCCAAAACCCGCUAUGCGAUUUAUCGAUUUAGAAUUGCUCACACGACAACCUAGUUCAUUCACUCCUGGAUGAGGGUUAACAUCUAACCUAGUUAUUUGAUUUGGGAAUUCUAAGAAUGUAAGCUCUCACGAUUCUAAGACAAAUCUAACAGAGAUUCAUUCAAGUUGAUCAUGCAAGAACAAAUCGAAAACAAAAUCAAAUAUGCAAUGAAAUCCAUCCAACUCGUCAAACGUAUCAAAUCAUUCUUUCAUCAAAUUGGCGAUGUUGCCCGGGAUUACGCUACUAUAGCUCAAGCUUUUGUAAAGGAGUAUUAUCCACCAGCGAAGACAGCUUCUAUUCACCGAAAAAUCAAAAUCAGAAGAGGAAGACAUUAAAUCUAGGUUUACACAAAGAACUAUUACAAAGGAUAUGGUCGUAACUUGAGGGACACACCAUGUUCUUAAAAGGACACUGACGUUUUCUAUGAAAAUAGCUUCUCAGUCGUAACUUCCAGAAAAAAGGACACGGUUGUGUUCUCAAGGGAUACGUCGUCUUCCCCUUGAGUUUUAGCAACCAUCCACUUCAAGCAGCUUAUAUCAUUCAUCGUAGUUCCUAGAUAAUGCCCCGACAUUGAUGUGUGCCUAAAAUCUAUCAAAAACACUACGAAACAACAUCAAACGGACCCUGAACGACUCUGAGGCACUAAAUCGAGAUAGAAGUUAGAUUAUGUUGUGGGUGGUAUGUUGUUUAUAGUGAUGCUUCGUAUUCAAGGUUAGGUUGUGUUCUGAUGCAGAACGACAGAGUGGUAGCUUAUGCAUCAUGCUAGUUAAAGGUGCAUGAAGUGAAUUUUAGGUGAGAAAAAGAUGACGAGAAUUUUAGGAUCAAGACCAAUCACAAGAGUCUCAAGUACUUGAUUGGCUUAAGGACCUCAACAGCAUGUAGAGACGCUGGGUAGAGCUACUUAAGGAAUAUGACUGUGUGAUAGACUAUCACCCAGGAAAGGCCAAUGUAGUGGUUGAUACUUUGAGCGGGAAGGGAGGGGUUGCCCGAGCUGGUAGAGAUGAGGAGCAUGGGUACAGAGUUGGAGGUGGAUCCAGUCAAAGAGAUACUGGCCAGAUUGGUAGUACAACCCUUGUUGCUGGUUCGAAUUACUGAGGCUCAGGCGACAGACGAGUUGGUGAUGAAGACUCAGCAGCUGGUGUCAGCCGGCAAGUUUAUACCCUACACUUGGAACGAUGGCGUGAUGCUCUUCCAAGUCAGAGUGUAUGUACCUUUGGGGUCGAACCUGAGAGAUGAUAUUUUUGAUGAGGAGCAUUUGUCCACUUAUUAUAUGCACCCAUCCUCACUAUUGGUGGCCUGGUAUGAAGAAGCAGGUGAUUCAGCAUGUGACUAGUUUCUUGGUGGGCCAUAAGGCAAAGUUCGACCAUCGGGCAUCGGGAGGGUUGCUUCACCCCCUACCUAUACGGAUGUGGAAGUUCAAGGACAUCAUGAUGGACUUCGUCAGUGGUUUUCCCUUGGUCAAUGGGAAACAUGCAGUGUGGGUCAUACUGGACCGGUUGACCAAGGUGGCACAUGUCAUACCCAUUUGGUUCAAGUCGGAUGUGGAGGAGUUGACAAGUUUGUAUCUUGAGCAUAUUGUAAGAUUGCACUAUGUACCGAAGAUGAUUGUAUCGGAUGGGGACCCUAAUUUCAGUUCCCACUUAUGGAAGUGUUUGCACAGAGCCUUGGGGACUAAGCUCAACUUCUUUACAGCUUAUCAUCCAUGGACUGAUGGUCAGAGCGAACUAUGUUCACCUUGGAGGAGCAGUUACGCUCGUGUGUGUUGGAGUUUGAUGAACCUUGGUUAAAGGUUUUGUCGAUGGUGGAGUUCGCUUAUAAUAACUCUUACCAUCACAGCUUAGGUGUAGCCCCAUUCAAGGCCAUGUAUGGCAGGAAGUUCAGGACCCCUCUCUUUUGGAAUAGGAAGGGAGAGAAGUUGUUAACUGGACCUCAGAUGGUUCAGGAGAUAGCCUCACGAGUUAGAGUGAUUCGAGCCCAGCAGGGUGUGGCUUAGAGUCGGUAGAAGCAGUAUGCCGAUAUAAAGGCCAGAGAGGUUAGCUUUAAGAAAUGGGACAAGGUCUUCCUUUGGGUAUCCCUCUGGAAGGGGUUGAUACAGUUUGGUAGGAAAGGAAAGUUGGCUCCCGAUUCAUUGGCCUUUACGAUAUCAUUCAGAGGAUUGAGCCAGUAGCUUAUGAGUUGGCCUUAACUACUGAGGUGGAUAAGAUACAUAGUUUUUUCCAUGUGAGCGUGCUUCAUGAUUAAUUGGCAAGUCAAACCAGGUGAUCCAGCCAGAUGAGAUCAGUUAUAGAGAGACCUCACCUUUACGGAGCCCAACUCAGAUUGUGGACAAAAAGGUCCCCAAGCUAAGGAGCAACGAGAUGCCAAUGCUAAAAGUGAUUUGCGAAAUUAGGAUGUCGAGGCUGCAACAUUGGAUACCAAGGCUAGCAUGAAAGAAUGCAAUCUGGAGCUCAUACAGAAUUACCUAGCAGGUAAUUUGUUUUCCCCAUGUUAAGCUUUUCACAUUCAAGUUUCGGAACGAAACCUUUUGUAGGAGGGGAAAGUUGUGACACCCCGAUAUCGGGUAAAUGUUUGACUAUUUUUGUUCGGUUUCUGUGAGUCUUUGAACUGGCUGUCAGAUGGACCAUCACGGGCAUGACCGACAGUCUUCCACGGGCGUGAUCAUUAGGUAGAUCACGGUCGUGGUCAGUCACGGUCACGAUCAUGGCUAAUAGAAGAAUCAUGGCCGUGACCAUCAGUAGGUCACGGGUGUGUUUGUCAUGCAACCACGAACGUGGUGUUAUGUACGCCACGGGCGUGGUGGACUGUUUAUAAAAACAGAGUCAUGAUUUCCAGAACUCGGAAUUAUAGAAACCUACUUUUGCAAUAUCACUAACAAAUGGAGAUUGAUUCCAAGCAGAGGGGAGGACCUUGUUCAUCAAUCCCAGACCAGUAGGAAAGGCUUAGAGAUCAUUGAGGAAACUUCUGAAGGUAAUCUAUAUGCUUCCUCCUUUCCCGAUCCUUUGAUUUGAAUCCUACGUAGGAAAAUCUAGUCAAGUUAGGAUUUGGGAAAUUUAGGGUUUCAAUCCUAGUUUGAUCUCAACAUAUCAUUCGGAUCAAGUAAUUGAGCUUUAGGGAGACAACUUCAGAUCAAACUCUUCAAAGGAAAGCUUUUUAGAGGUAGGGGUUAAGAUUACUUUUUUGCUUUAUGCAAAAAAUUGUAAUUACUUUUCAGGAAUCCUUGCUUGGAUUUUUAGGACUGUACAGUAGCAUGUGAUCUACUAUACAGGUGGUUAUGAUUGGCAGUUGAGUAUUUCAGGUUGUGGAGUAGCGUGUGAUCUACAGCACUAACAGUUGUUAUUUUUUAGCAUAAACUCACAAUGAUGAACUGUGCGUGUGAUUCACAGUUCAUGUUUAGGAUAAGAAUUAGGACUACUUAGAUUAGCUCAUGUUAUACAUUGGUUACCCACCCUUUGGAUUGCACAAUCCCCCAAGAUUAAUUGAGGUUUACACAGGGCGUAAUAACUUAACUUUCAGUGUUGCACUCAUGACUUUUCAGGGUAGUUUCAUGGUCUGAUCCACCAUGAGGUUGUCCGCUCAUAGCUAGGGGUGGCUGACAUUAGGACUAUGCCUACAAGACCACAUGGUCACUUUACUAGAUACUAGUUCAGUUCUUCACGUUUAGGCGUGGUUACUUAGUGCUUAUCGUUGACCCUCAUCUCAUUUCUUCAUGUACGAUCCACCUUGAGGCUUCAGGAUCAAAUGCUGCCUAAGAGAGAAGCAUGAGCAGCAACGCGUCCACGGAGUGACUUUGGGAGUCACGGAGAGAGGUACCUCAGUUAUCCCUUUCAUCGUUUUCAGGCUUUCAGACGUUUCCAUGUUUUCAGACAUUUCUUUGUUUCAAUUGUUUUAUCAGACUUAUCUUUGGAUGUUGAUAUGUUUUCUUAUGUUUUGAUACUGGUUUUGAGCCAUAGACGCUCGGUUUACUUUUCAUCAUUUUUACUUAUGUUAUGAGGCCAUUCAGUAUAGUUGUUUUCAUGUGUAUCUUGAGUUUUCUUAUGAUUGAGUGAACUCGUGACUGUUGUAUGGAUCGAACUAUGUGGUUCAAUCGAGUCAUCUAGGGGCGGGUUUCACAGAGGUUACACCAAUAAUCUAGACUUACUCUCAAGGGAAAUUUUGGCUUAAAGAUGAAGCCAAUAAUGAAGUCACAGUGUUUUACGGAUGGUGUUUAUGCGCUCAUCGUCAACUCUGAAGUGCGCUUCAACCACUUUCAUAUCAACCUACUCCUACUCAUCACAUCAAGGCACUUCAAGCACUAAUCCAGAGGUCUUUUAUUUGGCUUUUUAAUGUGGACAAAAAAGAGAAGAGAAGGUGAAAUGACUUUUGGUGGUGAGUGUACAUAGUGGCAAACGACUCAGUCUACUCUAAUAUGAAGCUAAGUUACUAAUCACAAAAAAAUGUUAUCUAAGGAGCUAAUUCUACCAAGAGCUACAAAUUAGCUCGUCUAUCCCUUAUUCCAACUACUACUUCGAGCUUAUUUGAUCAUUUAUUCAACUAACUCGAGACCUUUUGGUCUUAUUUUGAUAUUUUCAAUUUUUCUUCUCUCGAGACUGGAUUUUUACUUGUGUCCUUCCUUCUUUUGAGAGUUUCAAUUUUCCUAUCUUUUUCUCAUAUUUUUUAGUUUUCUACAAUGUAUCCCAAAAAUCAAGGGAAAUUGUAUAAUCGUGCAUUAAAUUUAAUUUAGUAACUUUAUUAACUCCUUGACUCUACCGAGUUACAUGCCACUAAUAUACACAUGAUCAAAUGAAGACUAGAAACAAAGGGGAUACAAUAUUAUGGGGGUACGAAAAAUGUUGUUUGGCUAUGAUUGGAUUACCUAGGAGAAAAUGUAAGGAUAGGAUAGAUGUUUUGUGGUAGAGCUUUUCUAAUUGCCUCUAUCAUUCUAGUGAAUCAGUGCCAAGAAAAUUUAGAGUGGUAUCAUGCAAGUAUCGGAUUAAUCGCAAACAGAGAAGACCACUCAAAAUAAUUUGAAGGAUAAAUCUACUGAUGGAGCAGAUUAUCUAUGCGUCUUUUAAAUAACAUAAUGUUUUGCUAGAUGGUAAUUCGGUAACAUGCAUGCCUGGUCACAUCAAGUUGGAGAGCCCAUGCUAUUUUAAACACAUCAAAGUUGCUCUAAAGAAUGAAUCAAUAGACUUUGAUCAUUGGCCAAUACUCCAAUCAAAUCUAGGUUCACAAGUAAAUCGACAAUUCAAGUGCAUAAAUCACAUGGAAAUUUCCUGAGCAUGUCAAGUGAUCGAUUCAAAGAUGGUUCCAACAAGCUUGAGGUUUGGACUCAAAUGCAAGAUGAAAAGCACCAAUCAAGACUAGCUAAUAAGAAUCAUAUGCAAACCCACCCCCACACUUAGUCUAGACAGUGUCCUCACUAAAUGAAACUGAAAAGUGCAUAGGAAUACCUGGAAGCCGUGAGAAAUCUAAGAGGCUCGAUACAUGAUUCAUGAAGUUCAAACUCAACGGCCAACUAACUCCUAAAACACACUCAAACACACACACAAAACCAAAAAUAAAAGUAAAAAGGAACUAGGACAAGUGUCCAAGCCAGACGCAUAACAAGAUGGAUUUAUGAUAAAAAAAAGAAAGAAAAUAAAAAGUCUAAAGUAGAAUGAUUAUCACUUAAACAUGAAAUUUGACUCAAAUAAAAUGCAAAAGACUUACUCCAGGCGUGGGUUGCCUCCCAUGAAGCGCUCUUUCUUUAACGUCUUUGAGCUAGAUGAUACAUGGAUGAUUAAGUUAGGACAACCCAACUCAGAACUUCAUUGAUGCUAGCUUCAUUGUUUUUUACAUACAGCUUAUAUGCUCCACUCCAAAGUAGCCACUUUCUCUUUCUUGCAUAAAAAAGUUCUACACUGCCAUCAUCUCUGACACCGGUGACUUCAAACGGUCCGAACCACUCAUUUUUUACUACAUUAUCAUCAGGGGGCUUGAUUGGUUGCCUCGUCUCUCCUAGUUUUGGCUUUCCCUUUUCGUUGGUGAAGACCAUCUCUAGAUUAACCUGUUUCUUUGGAAUUCUUUUCUGCUCAAAAGAUGGAUCAAUAGGCAAAGUAGAAUCGAGAGUGACAGCAUUCACUUUAGCAAGGUGUUUUUCAUGCAAUUUAAGCUUAGGGGAUGCAAUCAUACUUGAGGUGGAACUAGAUAUCUCAAGGACAAUCUUCUCUUCUCCAAUCCUCAAAGUCAUUUGUCUUGCUUGCACAUCUAUGAUGGCACCAGUAAUGGCUAAGAACGGUCGACCAAGGAUGAGAGCAUUUUUAUUGUCCUCUCUUGUAUCAGCACGUGGGUGUGCAAAGUUGAAUUGUCGAUCUCCAGUGUUCUUUACUCUGAAGUCUUGAUAUCCCUGCCGACUGAAAGGAUAACCCCCUUGAACAAAAUCUACCUCUUCCAUUGUCAUGGGGUUGCUGGUGAGGAAGUUUUCACAUUCUACCUGGCUAUCACAAAUACCACACCAAACACAUGUGUAAACAGAAGCAGCAGGGAGGUUUGAAAUUUUCAAACUGUCAAUCCUCUUCUCUAAUGCCUUAACCUGAGCUCUAAAGGCAAUAUUUUCUAUAUAAUUAGAGGACACUACAUUUGCUGGCUGAAUUGUGUUCCUCACCCAAUUUCUAGACUUUUGUUGCACGUGAAGCAAUGUGUUGCAAAGUAGCUGCAGGGGUGACAGCAGUGAGAUCUCCUUUUGCUAGUUGAUGUACUAGCAUUGUUGUAGCUCUAUCAAAAGAUUUAUUGAACAUGUCUACCAGCUGACUAUCUGUGUAACCAUAGUGAGGGAAAUUAGAUAACAACUCCCAAACCCGAUUCCAUAACUCAUAUAAGCUCUCUCCUUCUCUCUAAUGAAUCCAAGAGAUUGAUUCUCUGAUAGCUGCAGUCUUUGUUGGCGGAUAGUACUCUUCUACAAAAGCUUGACUAAUCAUCCAUCUUCUUGCUACUCCUUGGAGAGACCAUUUGAAAAGUUUAAGCUUCAUUGCUUCAUCAGAAAAACCUCGCAGAUUGACAGUUUCGUUGUAAGCAUAGAAGUCCACUAGAUGAGCACAUCGAUUUUCAUUUGUCCUUCCUUCAAACUUCAAAUUCUGAUAAAUUAAGGAGAUGAGAUUCCCCCUAAAUCUCAUAUUUCUCAUCAUCUUGUUCAAAACGGACCAUACUCAAUGUGGAGUUUGUAGCACUAGGCUUGGUGUAAUCGGCAAGGGUUCUUGCAGCCACCAUUGGUUCAGUAAGCCCGGAAGUGUAACUGUGAUCUGAGCUUGAAUACUCUAAGUCAGAAGAGUCUUCGAGCUGAGAUUCUUCAUCACUACCUAAUAGAGCUUUGAGAGAUUCAGUAAUCUCUCCUUCUUCUUGUUAUGAGCGCAAGUCCUGGUGAGAAUUUUGACCUGAUUUGGACUGUGUCGCUACUAGUGACAUGCAAUGUAAGCACACCUGCGCAAGGAAAAAAAUAACACAAAUGAAAAGUAACUAUGAAAGCCAAAAUUUAAAGCGGGGGUGAAGAUUAAUACUAAUCGAACUAAUUUCAGAUACUAUAAAGAAUUCCCCGCCAAUGGUGGCAAUUUGAUUUAGCAUUUUUAGCACUCUCAAAAUAAUCCGUCUAAUAAAUUAACCAAGUUGAAUCUCCUUAUGGUCUCUUUUAGAAUCUUACUCAAAAUUGUAAUUAGUAUCAAUCGACGUAUCAACGAAUGUUGUUUAGGUGCCACGAGAUCAAUCAAUCAAUCAAAAUGAAAAUGAAAUUUUCUUAAAAGUAAAUGGCUGCAAGACGGCAUAAUUAACAUUUUGACAAUCAAAGAUGAAACUACUUAGAUUUUGAAUCCUCCUAGGCAAUUCUAAUUCACAAAUGAUAGACAAGUUCCACGAUUUACACGAAACAGGAUAGAUGCAAUUCUUCUAUAAUCAAAUCAUGCCCUUUCGGGGCCGCUACUUUACUACCUAUCUAGUAUUCUAGUCCACUCUUUCGAGACAAAGAUCCAAAACCCGCUAGGCUAUUUACCGAUUUAGAAUUGCUCACACGACAGACUAGUUCAUUCGCUCCCGGAUGAGGGUUAUCGUCUAACCUAGUUAUUUGAUUUGGGCAUUCUAGGAAUGCAAGCUCUCACGAGUCUAAGACAAAUCUAACAGAGAUCCAUUCAAGUUGAUCAAGCAAGAACAAAUCGAAAACGAAAUCCAAUAUGCAAUGAAAUCUAUCCAACUCGCAUAAAUCAACUAAAGUCGUCAAAUCAUUCAUUCAUAGGAAUUAACCUAGGGUUCAUCAAAUCUAAGCAAGAGAAGUUUAAGUUCUCAUACUCUCAAGAGACAAAUCAUAAUCAGAAGAGGAAGACAUUAAAUCUAGGUUUACACAAAGAAUUAUGAAAGGAAGUCAAAACUGCUUUAUUUACCAUUCCUAGAGGGAAGAAUCUGGGGCUUUAUGGAUUUUCCUCUGAUUUUUAUAAGCAGUCCUGGAAUGUAGUGGAAACCAAGGUUUUGAAAAUCGUACCGGAGAUUGAACCUGUGAGGUUAGGGGUUUAGGAUUUGAUGGUUCGAUCGGAAUUCAACCGUUUUUAAAAUCGGGUUGGACCGUUUUAAUUAUUAAUUAAAUAAAUAAAUAUAGUUAAGCUGGACUUGAUGAUUUUUUGAUUGAACCGGAUCAAACCACUAGUAUAGAUAGUUCAAUAUCAUAUUCUAAAUUGUAAAAAAUAUAGGUAUUGAAUCAUUUUUUAAAAAGUCAUAAAUGAUUUGAAAUUUUUAUGUAGUCACAAAAAUUGGGUCCGACCAGCCAAACAAUUCCAGUCAAACCGACUGGUUUUUUCGAUCGAACCAGGUCGACGCCCGAUUUUGACCAUUCUCAUCAACCGGCAACUUGGUAUCGGCUCCAUAACCAAUUCACGGUCGAACCAAUGGGCCGGCCGUUUUGAUCUGAUUUCCUUAACAUUGUAUUUUUAGUUAGUUGAAUCUCUGUGUUUGUACAUUGAUUUCUCAGCAUCCAUAGGUUCCCUUUUCUUACUGGUUGUUGUUGUAUUCUAUUGUUUGAGUUGUACGAUUGCGACUCUGCGAGCUUGAUGAAUAAAAUUAUCCAUAAAAAAAUGAAUUUAAUAUUUCCAAUCCAAUUAGCAACUAGCUAGCACGCUUUCUUCUUCUUUAUUAAUCUAACUUCACGGCAUGUGUCUGUCGGGAUCCUAAGUUUCCACACCCGCCGACGGCCGGCUUUAAAUUGGAGAAGAUGAAGGCCAAGAUGACCCAUAUUAAAAUAUGGACUAAUUUCCUUCCUUGUAAAUAAUUGGGAGCUAACCUAAAACAUCCAGUCGUUUCUAUUUUGUUAGUUCACCGUCGUCUAUUCGUUUUCAUCGCCCGAUUGCAGACGGUUUCGGGGAUGCGAGAUUGGGUCGAACUUUUGGUUCGCUCUUCAUGGUUCGUUGGAUAGAACCAAACCGAAUUGCCCGGUUGAUUAAUUCAAUGUUUUCUUUUUGUAAUAAAGAUUGGUUCAGGAAUUGAUAUUAUAAGAGAAAAGCUGAAGCAUAUGCUGUACUGUCUUGACAGCUUUAGAAAAAUGCUGCAAGCAAAAUACCUUAAUUUCUCUCGAAGCCAAACCCCCAGAUUGUGGAUUUGCAACUUUAACCGAAACACAUGUGACAUUCCUCCUCGUCCUUCUCUGAUCCAACCUCUGCGUCUAAUUUGAUUCCUCUUACCUUACCUUUGCUUCUUCUUGUUACAUUCCAAGCUUCGUUUCCCAUAACCACUACAACAACAAAAAGUGGAUUUAGUGAGUUUUUUUUUAAAUGAUAUUUAUUAGUUUUUAUAAUUUUAUAGAGAUAAAUAUUUUAUAAGUAUCCGAUGUUUUUGUUGUGAAAUGUUUUCGAAAACAAAUGUUAACAUCUGUCUUAAAAUAAACAAACAAAUACUAUUUUUUUGUUAUUUAUUAAUCUUUUACAUGACAAUUUUUUAUCAUCUAAACUAGUUUUUAGAUACUAAAAUUUUUGCUUUUCUUUCCUAAUUAAAAGGCAUAAAUAUCUGUUUCUAAUGCUUAAGUUUUGAUACAACUAAAUUUGCUUCUAUUGAAUGUUUUCGAUACAUAUAUUUAUUUUUAUAUCUNNNNNNNNNNNNNNNNNNNNNNNNNNNNNNNNNNNNNNNNNNNNNNNNNNNNNNNNNNNNNNNNNNNNNNNNNNNNNNNNNNNNNNNNNNNNNNNNNNNNNNNNNNNNNNNNNNNNNNNNNNNNNNNNNNNNNNNNNNNNNNNNNNNNNNNNNNNNNNNNNNNNNNNNNNNNNNNNNNNNNNNNNNNNNNNNNNNNNNNNNNNNNNNNNNNNNNNNNNNNNNNNNNNNNNNNNNNNNNNNNNNNNNNNNNNNNNNNNNNNNNNNNNNNNNNNNNNNNNNNNNNNNNNNNNNNNNNNNNNNNNNNNNNNNNNNNNNNNNNNNNNNNNNNNNNNNNNNNNNNNNNNNNNNNNNNNNNNNNNNNNNNNNNNNNNNNNNNNNNNNNNNNNNNNNNNNNNNNNNNNNNNNNNNNNNNNNNNNNNNNNNNNNNNNNNNNNNNNNNNNNNNNNNNNNNNNNNNNNNNNNNNNNNNNNNNNNNNNNNNNNNNNNNNNNNNNNNNNNNNNNNNNNNNNNNNNNNNNNNNNNNNNNNNNNNNNNNNNNNNNNNNNNNNNNNNNNNNNNNNNNNNNNNNNNNNNNNNNNNNNNNNNNNNNNNNNNNNNNNNNNNNNNNNNNNNNNNNNNNNNNNNNNNNNNNNNNNNNNNNNNNNNNNNNNNNNNNNNNNNNNNNNNNNNNNNNNNNNNNNNNNNNNNNNNNNNNNNNNNNNNNNNNNNNNNNNNNNNNNNNNNNNNNNNNNNNNNNNNNNNNNNNNNNNNNNNNNNNNNNNNNNNNNNNNNNNNNNNNNNNNNNNNNNNNNNNNNNNNNNNNNNNNNNNNNNNNNNNNNNNNNNNNNNNNNNNNNNNNNNNNNNNNNNNNNNNNNNNNNNNNNNNNNNNNNNNCAAAAAAAAUUAGUUUGUUUAGUUCAUAACUUUGUAUUAAAUAUUUUGAGGAGCACUAAAAAUAAUGAUUUCACAUUACUUGAAAUCUGAGGCAAUUUACAAAGGACCUUGAAGUUGGAACUAUUUGCCGUUUGGGGCAAUCAACAACCAAGAAUAUCAAACAGUUCCAACUCUUCGGGUUGAAAAAACUGAGGCAAUUUUGAAGUUACGCGGUUUUUUUAUUUGGUUGAGGUAACAGUUAUUUUCUUUCCUAGAAUUAAGGUGGAGGAAUAAAAAUAANNNNNNNNNNNNNNNNNNNNNNNNNNNNNNNNNNNNNNNNNNNNNNNNNNNNNNNNNNNNNNNNNNNAUAAUAAUCCAAAGUACAUGGAAUAACUAAAAUUUUAGAAUACAAGAAUAAACUUCCACAAAACAACAAAUUAAUUAUUGUAAACUAUUCUUCGUUGUAAAUAGCUUUAAUCUUCAACUCUUCUUCAAUGGCCUGUUAUAUUCACCAUUUAAAUUUCAAUUAACAUGACAACUAACAUCUAAAAAAUAAUGGUCAAACAAUCAUCCGUCCUGCUACAUUUGCAAUAGCUGAAAGCUUCAAUAUAAUCUAAAGGUGCACUAAAACCAAAUCCAAACCAUGAAAACAAACACUUAAAAAGCUCCUUGUUUAUCUGAAAUUCAAUAACGAAAGUUUCAAAUAUAAGAAUCAUCGGUCGACGGGAAGUUUCAGAUCUGUCAAAUGUGAGUCAUACUUCUGUGUUGCUACCAAAAUGAUCCUGCAAAAACAGAAUACGAUUCCCUAGCUAGAUAGGAUCCCGAUGACAUGGAAGAGGAGAACAUGAACAUUCUGUACAACUGUAGUAACCUUCGCUGCUUCUUUAUUGGCCUGCUGAUCAAGAGAUUGAUAAUACUCCUAAUUGCAUCCUUCCCGACCUUUGUCGAAUUCGUGGAGGGAAAGUGGAAUUUUUCUUUUCCGAAUCCAACCAUAUUUUCUUCAAUAAUAUAUGGAUGCGGUUACAGUAACCUUGAGUUUCAGUUACAAACAUUAUAACUUACAGAAAAAGUUUGUGGAGUAUGAAGUGGGGAAGGAGGUUUAUCGUGAGAUUGUGGGUUUGAGACAUUACUAUGUUUAUAUAAUAUAAUUUAAGGGGACAUUCCGGUGGAAACAUGUAUCUGAUACAAAUAUUAUGUGACGUUAUAUUAUUGGAUAGUUUUUAUUUUUGAUUAAAUAAUGUUGUAUUAGUCCUUAAAAAUGUAAAAAUAUGCAAAUUAAUUUCCUAAAAAAAUAAGAUAAAGUGAUCUCCGCAAUAUUGAUUUAUCGACGGUGUUAAUUUCCAGCUCACACUGCUGUCGUCGGGGAAAAUGUACCUAGUUUGACUAAACAAUAACCAGGCACAGGGAAGAGAUAAAGGGCCAUCAAAUGGCUAUAAUUUAUCAGCAUGUUCCUGGAAGUAUAGUAGACAUUCAUGAAUCUAAAUUGGAAGAUGAUUUAAAAGAACUCAAAGCAACAGGCAAAACAGGUAAAAGCAUGUAAUAUGGCACUUUCAGAGUAGUUAAGUUGGAAGGAAACCCUAAUUUCUCGAAUCAAUUUCUCACUACAACACCUCAAAGCUUACUUAAGAGCAAAAACACAAAUCGGAAAAUCAGUAAAACCCCAACUCGGCCAAAGAAUUAAUAUAUCUAUGUUUAAUCCUAUUACUAACGCCGGAAAAUCCAAUAGUCAAUCGUAAUGCUUUUCUCUUAUUUUCUCUUCAUCAAGUCGAUCAAUUUUCUUUCUCAUCGUAUGAGGGUGGAGAUGAAUUGAUCUUGUGAAACUCGACAAUAUUACUAACGACUUAAAAGAGAUUAUAGAGAUCAUUGAGUGCCUGUGUCUUCAGUGGAUAGAUUGGAGGAAGAUAACUCAUUCAAAAUCUCAAUGGCGAUUAUUUGUGGAAAUGGCAGAGAUGAUUAGCUUAGAGCUUCCAAAUCCAUGGCUGUAAAAUUGAGCAAGAAAAUGAUAUAAAAGAAGAUCAAAAUCAGUGGAUGAAAGCAAGUCACAAACUAACGAAAAAUGAUGUUUGAAAGACAAUCCCUAAUUAAUCGAGGAAGAUGAUGAAUCGUAACUUUAGGGAAUAUUAUGUUAAAUAGCAUAUUCGAAAGCAACAUGGCUAAAUUUUCGGAUGAUGAAGUUGUUAAUUACACAAAUUUAAGGGUUUCAAUGACAUAAAAUUGGGAGGGUCAUCAGAACUCGUCACCUGACGUUUGUACUUGGUGUAUGUUUCCACCGAAGUAUUACACAUAAUUUAAUUACCUCAUUAACUAGUCAAUNNNNNNNNNNNNNNNNNNNNNNNNNNNNNNNNNNNNNNNNNNNNNNNNNNNNNNNNNNNNNNNNNNNNNNNNNNNNNNNNNNNNNNNNNNNNNNNNNNNNNNNNNNNNNNNNNNNNNNNNNNNNNNNNNNNNNNNNNNNNNNNNNNNNNNNNNNNNNNNNNNNNNNNNNNNNNNNNNNNNNNNNNNNNNNNNNNNNNNNNNNNNNNNNNNNNNNNNNNNNNNNNNNNNNNNNNNNNNNNNNNNNNNNNNNNNNNNNNNNNNNNNNNNNNNNNNNNNNNNNNNNNNNNNNNNNNNNNNNNNNNNNNNNNNNNNNNNNNNNNNNNNNNNNNNNNNNNNNNNNNNNNNNNNNNNNNNNNNNNNNNNNNNNNNNNNNNNNNNNNNNNNNNNNNNNNNNNNNNNNNNNNNNNNNNNNNNNNNNNNNNNNNNNNNNNNNNNNNNNNNNNNNNNNNNNNNNNNNNNNNNNNNNNNNNNNNNNNNNNNNNNNNNNNNNNNNNNNNNNNNNNNNNNNNNNNNNNNNNNNNNNNNNNNNNNNNNNNNNNNNNNNNNNNNNNNNNNNNNNNNNNNNNNNNNNNNNNNNNNNNNNNNNNNNNNNNNNNNNNNNNNNNNNNNNNNNNNNNNNNNNNNNNNNNNNNNNNNNNNNNNNNNNNNNNNNNNNNNNNNNNNNNNNNNNNNNNNNNNNNNNNNNNNNNNNNNNNNNNNNNNNNNNNNNNNNNNNNNNNNNNNNNNNNNNNNNNNNNNNNNNNNNNNNNNNNNNNNNNNNNNNNNNNNNNNNNNNNNNNNNNNNNNNNNNNNNNNNNNNNNNNNNNNNNNNNNNNNNNNNNNNNNNNNNNNNNNNNNNNNNNNNNNNNNNNNNNNNNNNNNNNNNNNNNNNNNNNNNNNNNNNNNNNNNNNNNNNNNNNNNNNNNNNNNNNNNNNNNNNNNNNNNNNNNNNNNNNNNNNNNNNNNNNNNNNNNNNNNNNNNNNNNNNNNNNNNNNNNNNNNNNNNNNNNNNNNNNNNNNNNNNAUUUUUUUUGUUCCUACCCAAAAGAGAAAACCUUUAUCACUAUUUAAAUGUCUAUAUAGUUAUGUUUCAAGAUGGGUAUGCCACUAUUAUUAUUAUUAUUAUUAUUUCUUUAAAGCAUUCUUUAUUUUUAUGUUAAUGAAUGUUCCAUUACCGUUACUAUUUUAAUUAUUAUAUCAUUUUCAUAUGUUUUAUUAUUUGGCUUAUAAUAUAUUUGUAAUUCAAUUUGCUUCUUUUAUAGCAUGUCGAAUAUUUCCAAACUUGAGUUUGUGGCCCUUGACGUUUCGGGCAAAAAUUACCUCUCGUGGGUCUUGGAUGCUGACAUCCAUUUGCAAGCCAAAGGGUUGGGCGACACGAUUAAAGAUGAAACUGAAACAUCUGCCCAAGACAAAGCCAAGGCUUUGAUCUUUAUUCGCCACCAUCUUGACGAGGGCUUGAAAAACGAGUAUCUCACCAUCAAAGAUCCUCUCGAAUUGUGGAAUAAUCUCAAAGACCGAUAUGACCACCAGAGAACGGUGAUUCUCCCUCGAGCUCGUGAUAAUUGGGUGCAUUUACGCCUACAAGAUUUCAAAUCCGUGAGCGAGUACAAUUCUGCCCUCUUCAAAAUUUGCUCGCAGUUGUUGCUAUGUGGCGAGAAAAUCACUGAUAAGGAAAUGCUCGAGAAGACAUUUUCCACUUUCCAUGCUUCCAAUAUAGUUCUCCAACAACAAUAUCGGGAGAAGGGCUUCACCAAAUAUUCUGAAUUAAUAUCAUGUCUCUUAGUGGCCGAGCAAAACAAUGACCUCUUAUUGAAAAAUCACCAAUCACGCCCCACUGGUAUGGCUCCAUUUCCGGAAGCUAACGCGAGAAACAAUCACAAUUUUGAUCAAUAUCAUGGUCGUGGUCAUGGUCAUAACCGUGGUGGUGGAUAUGGUCGCAAUAAUGUCCAUGGUCGUGGACGUGAUUAUGGUCAUGGUCGCCUUCAGAGAUUCAACCACUCUUCUCGUCCACAUUUCAAACGGGAUGGGCGAAUGAAUAAGGAACGAGGUGGGCCUAGCAACAGAAACUUUCAAAAUAUGUGUACUAGAUGUGGCGGCGAUCAUUGGACUCGCACUUGUCGUACACCUAGACAUCUUAUCAAUCUUUACCAAGAGUCAAGGAAAGACAAGAAGGUUGAAACCAAUAUGGUCAUUGAGGAAGGUGUUUUGAACCAUGGCCAAUUUGACACCACUCAUCUGGAUGUUGCUGACUUCUUUCCUCCUCAUGAUGGAAAUGUUGAGAAAUAAGAUUGUUGUUGAGAUAUCUUUUAUUACAAAAAUGGUGCCUUGAUGUAUGCACCUUAUUAUCGUUCUCAUUUGAUUUGUUUGAGUUUGUUUUUCUUGAACGUGUUUUCUCAUUUUUUUUAUUUCUUUUUAUUAAUGAAUUUCCCAUCAUAAUUGUCCCUUCUAAUAUGGAUUAUCAUUUUCGUGUUAUAGCAUGGAUACUACUGCCAUCCACGACAACAUAAAAAAUGAGGAUGUGUGUCUCAUCGAUAGUGCUUCCACUCAUACUAUUCUAAAGGAUAAGAAGUAUUUUUCUCAUCUAGUGAUGCGAGAAGCUAAUGUUAGCACUAUAUCCGGUAGUAGUAAUUUAAUUGAAGGCUCCGGAAGAGCAACCGUGCUACUACACGGAGGAACUAGAAUGCAUAUUGAUGAUGCAUUAUAUUCUACAAAGUCUCACCGCAACUUAUUAAGUUAUAAAGAUAUCCGUCGUAACGGAUAUCACAUCGAGACAAUUGAGGAAGAAAAUAAAGAAUAUAUUGCCAUCACAAGUAUGGUAGAUGGUAACAAAUGUUAUCUUGAAAAACUACCAUCUAUUUCUUCUGGUUUGUACUACACUUUUAUUAGUACAAUUGAAUCACAUUCCAUUAUAAACUCCAAGUUUAUGGAUCGUGAUAGAUUUGUAGUUUGGCAUAACCGGUUAGGCCAUCCCGGAACAAUUAUGAUGCGUAAAAUACUUGAGAAUUCCCUUGGACACUCGUUGAUGAGUAAGCGAAUUCCCCAAUCGAAUGAUUUGGCUUGUAUUGCAUGUUCUCAAGGAAAAUUGAUUAUCCGACCAUCAUCGAUAAAAGUGAGAAAUGAAUCGCUCACAUUUUUGGAACGCAUUCAAGGCGAUAUUUGUGGACCAAUUCAUCCAUCAUGCGGACCAUUUAGAUAUUUUAUGGUUUUAAUUGAUGCAUCAACUAAGUGGUCACAUGUAUCGUUAUUAUCCACUCGUAAUUUGGCAUUUGCGCGAUUACUUGCUCAAUUGAUCAGAUUACGGGCACAGUUUCCGGAUUAUCCGAUAAAAACGAUACGCCUUGACAAUGCUGGUGAAUUUACUUCACAACAUUUUAAUGAUUAUUGCAUGUCUGUCGGAAUUGAUGUUGAACAUCCUGUAGCACAUGUUCAUACACAAAAUGGUUUAGCAGAAUCUCUAAUCAAACGCUUACAGUUAAUAGCAAGACCAUUGUUAAUGAAGGCAAAGCUUCCCACUUCAUGUUGGGGGCAUGCUGUCUUACAUGCAGCAUCAUUAAUUCGCAUCAGGCCAACAAGUUAUCACGAGUAUUCCCCCUUACAAAUGGUUUUUGGUCAGGAACCGAAUAUAUCCCAUCUAAGAAUAUUUGGAUGUGCUGUUUACAUCCCUAUUACACCACCACAACGCACUAAGAUGGGACCUCAAAGGAGGUUGGGAAUUUAUGUUGGGUAUGAGUCUCCCUCGAUUAUAAAAUAUUUAGAACCAAUGACAGGAGAUUUAUUCACAGCUCGUUUUGCUGAUUGUCACUUUGAUGAAUCAGUUUUCCCAACAUUAGGGGGAGAAAAUAAUAAGCUGGACAAAGAGAUCAGUUGGAAUGAAUUAGCAUUAUGUCAUUAUGAUCCUCGUACUAGACAAUAUGAACUAGAAAUUCAAAAGCUAAUUCAUUUACAAAGUUUAGCGAAUCAACUGCCAGACGCUUUUACUGACCCACAUCGAGUAACCAAAUCUCAUGUUCCAGCAAUGAAUGCUCCAUCAAGAGUAGAUGUCCCUAUUGGACAUCAUGAAAAUACAAAUGAGUCUAAAGCACGUCUGAAGCGUGGUAGACCUAUCGGUUCCAAAGAUAAAAAUCCUCGAAAAAGAAAAGGAGCUGUAAAUCAAGAUGGUCCAAUCGAGGAUAAGCUACCAAACAUUGCUGAUAUAUCAGCACAAGAACAGCAUCAGGUACCUGAACAUAUUGAAAAUAAUGAGAUCUCAAUCAACUAUGUCUUGGAUGGUAAACAAUGGAACCGCAAUAUAGUUAACGUCGAUGAAAUUUUUGCUUAUAAAUUAGCGCUGAAUGUUAUUUAUGAAAAUAAGGAUCUUGAGCCAAAAUCCAUGAAUGCAUGCAAAAAACAAAAGGAUUGGCCAAAAUGGAAUGAUGCAGUUAAGGCAGAAUUACAUUCUCUUGAAAAAUGAAAAGUUUUUGGACCUGUGGUCCUUAUACCUGAUGGUGUCAACCCCGUCGGGUACAAAUGGGUUUUUGUAAGAAAACGUAAUGAAAAUGGUGAAAUUACGAGGGACAAGGCAAUGGUGAAAUUACGAGGUGUUGUUGCCCAAGGAUUUUCACAAAGACCCGGAAUUGAUUAUGAGGAGACAUAUUCUCCUUUGGUGGAUGCAACUACUUUUUGUUAUUUGAUCAGUCUGGCAAUUCGAGAAGGAUUAGAUUUGCGUCUCAUGGAUGUCGUAACUGCCUAUUUAUAUGGAUCACUUGAUAACGACAUCUAUAUGAAACUUCCUGAAGGAUUUCAUUUGCCUGAAGCUUACAAAUCAAGUUCUCGAGAACGUUAUUCGAUCAAAUUGAAUAAAUCCUUAUAUGGAUUGAAACAAUCUGGCAGAAUGUGGUAUAACCGCCUUAGUGAAUAUUUGAUCAAAGAAGGAUAUGCAAAUGAUCCGAUAUGUCCAUGUGUUUUCCUAAAAAGAUUAGGAACCGAGUUCGUUAUCAUUUCGGUUUAUGUUGAUGACAUAAAUAUCAUUGGGACUCCAAAUGAGCUUACAAAAGCAAUCACCUGCUUGAAAAAGGAAUUUGAGAUGAAAGAUUUGGGGCGGACAAAAUAUUGUCUUGGUUUGCAGGUUGAGCACCUACCAAACGGUAUUCUUGUACAUCAAGAAGGAUACACUACUAAAGUGUUGAAACGAUUUUACAUGGAUAAAUCACACCCAUUGAGUACCCCGAUGGUUGUCAGAUCACUAGAUGUGAAAAAAGAUCCCUUUAGACCUCGGGAAAGUGAUGAAGAACUACUUGGUCCUGAAGUACCUUAUCUUAGUGCAAUCGGUGCACUAAUGUACCUUGCCGGUCAUACAAAUCCCGACAUAUCAUUUGCCGUUAAUUUAUUAGCAAGAUAUAGUUCUUCUCCCACACGAAGACAUUGGAAUGGUGUCAAACAUAUACUUCGCUAUCUGCAAGGAACACAAGAUAUGGGAUUAUUCUUCUCGAAUGAAUCAAAAGCAGAUUUGGUAGGAUAUGCAGAUGCUGGAUACCUAUCUGACCCUCAUACUAGCCGAUCACAAACUGGUUAUUUAUUCACAUGUGGUGAUACAGCAAUUUCUUGGCACUCUGUGAAACAAACACUUACCGCCACAUCAUCUAACCAUGCUGAGAUUUUAGCAAUACAUGAGGCUAGUCGUGAAUGUGUUUGGUUGAGGUCUAUAAUUCAACAUAUUCGAAGUUCGUGUGGAUUAACUUCUGAAAAGAUGGCUCCGACACCCUUGCAUGAAGAUAAUGCUGCAUGCAUCGUACAAUUGAAAGAGGGAUACAUCAAAGGAGAUAGAACAAAACAUAUCUCUCCUAAAUUCUUCUUCACUCAUGACCUUCAAAAGAAUGGUGACAUUACUGUCAAACAAGUACGUUCAAGUGAUAACUUGGCUGAUUUAUUCACUAAGACUCUUCCGCCAUCAACAUUUGAGAGACUAGUUCGGAAAAUUGGAGUUCGGCGACUGAGGGACUUCAAUUGAUAUCAUCAUUAGGGGGAGUUGAUACGCACUGCACUCUUUUUCCCUUAACCAUGGUUUUUCCCAUUGGGUUUUCCUGGUAAGGUUUUUAACGAGGCAGUAUCAAACGCGUAUUCAAAAAAUGAUGUAUAUCGUUAACCAAUGGACAUUCAAGGGGGAGUGUUAUGAAGAUAAUAAUGUAGUGAAUGCCCAAUUGUGUAACUCUCAUUCUAUGAUUAAUGUAUUUUAUUCCCCUCCUUUAUGUGUAUGAUUCAAUGUAUUUCAUUCCCCUCUUUUAUGUGUAAUAAUAUUAGAGAGUGUAGGUUAUGAUUUCAUGAGCCUAUAAAUAGAGCUCUCAUUUGUAGCAUUCCACACACCUCAAUAAGAAAGUACUUCUCCUCCCAUGUUCUUUUUCUCUUCUUUGUUCUUAGUUUUAUAACAAUUACUAUUUUAUUUUAAAUUUGAAAAAAUAAAUACGUUAUUUGUCGCUAAACCUAACACCUUAGCUUCAUUAAUCUAAAAAUAUUAAACAACUAUAAUUUCUGUAGAGGCAAAUAAUUUAAUUAUUGUGAAUAUAUAUUUUUAGAGAGGCUAAUAUUAUUUAUGAUUAGAUAAAUUAGAGAUCAAUAAUAUUUUAUAUAGAGAUCAAUAAUAUAUUAUCUAUCAUAGUAAAUUUUAGUAACUAAUAUGCUAAUUGCCUCUACAUAUUUAUAGCUAUAGCCUUAUUUUUUUAGUAAACAUCCCCAGAUGCCCUCCCCUGUCUGUCUUAAGUUCCAAGCCAAACAACCUAACUUUAAUUAAAAGCAUUGAGACUAUCAAUAUNNNNNNNNNNNNNNNNNNNNNNNNNNNNNNNNNNNNNNNNNNNNNNNNNNNNNNNNNNNNNNNNNNNNNNNNNNNNNNNNNGAGUUUUGUUCUUUACGAUUUUAACCUUAUUUAACAUAGAAGAAGAACUAAACAUGAAUACACUACACCCACCUCAUAUAGAAACUUCUAUGGUGGACUUCUCUGAUUUGCAGGUAUGGUUUCCAUUUGCUUGAAUGCGCAAGAUGACAUCCCUUUGUCAGCAGGAUAUUCAAUUUCCAUGAUUUCAGUUAUAGUAACAAUCUGUCUGGUUAUUAGGAUGUUCAAAGAUUGCAGACGAGACAAGUGGAAAUAGUUCAAGGAUUAUCGUAUAUGUGCUUUGUUGCUUUGUCAUUACCACUAAAAAUAGACGUAACAUUUUACAGCUACCUCGUGUGAUCAACUCCACUUAUGAGUUGUAAUUAAAAAUGCUCUCUUAAAAUAAACCACAUUAAGUAAUUCAUAAAAAUAAGUAAACCACAUUGAGUUGACAGUUUGGUGGGAUGGAUGUGGAAUUAUUCGGAAACCGAAGGGCAAAUGUCAAGCAGCCUUUGCUGCUAACUUCGGUGUCUGUACAAUAACUCACGCAGAAUUGUGUGCUGCCCUUCAUGGUUUACGUAUUGCGGGAGAUUUGGGCUAUCAGAAGGUAAUUUACAGGUUGAUUUAGUAGUGGUGAUCCCGAUCCUUCUCCAUAAUAUUUUAAUUGAUGGCAUUUUUCAUCAAACCUGCGUGAAUGAGUUGGACGGCCCAUACUUAUUCAGAGAGGAAUUGAAUUGUCGAUCGCUUUCUCACCAUGAUUAUUAUUUUUUUGGGAUUCGUUGUAUUUUUUCUUUUUAAUUGGAGAUUAUUGAUUGUAUUGAACAAACACGAUUGGGGUUUAUUUUCCACGAUUUAUUAUGAUUAAUAAUAACUAUCAAUGAGUUAUUGGUGUAGUGGUGUCAGCACUUAAAAGGGAAAACCAAGGUUCGAUCUCCCACAACAACGUUGGGAGAGGAGUAAAACCUUAACCCAGGGAUAAUUUCUCGACUAUAUUAGUUGGCCAAUAGAUCGAAUACCAAAGUUUACACCAAAAUAAACAAUAACUAAGAUUAAUGUCCGCCCUUUCUACUAAAAAAAUUUAAAAAUUCAAUUUCUUUCUCAUUAAAUAUUUAUAAUAUCUCAAAUAGCUACAUAACUAUUAAAAAUAUUCCACACCAAACAAGAUUAGUUAUUUAAAAUAUUUUAUACCAAACAAGGUCAAAAAAGUUUUAGGAAACAAUAAAUUUAAAAAUGAUAUUCUUACUUUUAUGAACAAAAAUCAAACCCCAACUUCUAUGGUGUGACCGAGUGAAAACGCCAGAAAGGAAAGGAAAGAUCUUAAAAGGAGGAAGAAAUAUAGGUAAUCUCUAUUUUCCGUUGUGUGUCAGCCUCAAGUUUACAACAGCUUCCGUAUUUUAUUAAUUGUUAAUCCCAAAACUACCCCCAGACCCCGCCCUAUAAUAAUUAAUUAUAAUAUAGUAAGAGAUAGCUGCCCUUUUCCCCAAAUUUCCAGUUUUCUUUUAGCAGAACAGCUCAGCUCCUCUCUUGAGUCAUUACUACUGUUACCACACCCACACUCACACUCCUCCUUCUACUUUCCCCCAAAACCCUCAUUUUCAGUUUUGCCUAGAAUACCGCCACAAUGCGCUCCCCGGCGGCCUCGCUCCUCCUUGCCCUCCUUUUCCUCUUCUCCUCCGCCGUCGUCUCCGGCCACAACAUUACCCGCCUCCUAGCCAAGCACCCAGACUUCUCCACCUUCAACCGCUACCUCACCCUCACUCACCUCGCCGGUGAGAUCAACGCCCGAACCACCAUCACCGUCUGCGCCGUCGACAACGCCGCCAUGUCCUCCAUCCUCGCCUCCAAACCUUCCAUCAAUACCAUCAAGAACAUCCUCUCCCUCCACGUCCUCCUCGACUACUUCGGCCCCAAGAAGCUCCACCAGAUCACCAACGGCACCGCACUCGCCGCCACUCUCUUCCAGGCCACCGGAUCUGCCGCUGGUUCCUCCGGAUUCGUCAACAUUACGGACAUCAAGGGCGGCAAAGUCGCCCUCGGACCCGAGGAUAACGGCGGAAAACUCGAUGUCUUCUUCGUCAAAGGCCUCGAGGAGCUUCCUUACAACAUUUCUGUCAUUCAGAUCAGCAAGAUUCUCCCCUCCGACGUUGCGGCGGCCCCUACUCCCGGCCCCGCCGAGUUGAAUUUGACUGACAUUAUGUCGGCUCACGGUUGUAAGGUGUUCGCCGACACUCUGCUCGCCAAUCCUGAAGCUUCCAAAGUUUACCAGGUAUAUAUUACUUUAUCAAUUCAUUACUAAAUCUAGAUGUGUUUAACUCCAUCGAUUUCUAAAAUUCAUUAGCCUCUGUAUGGAAUUAUCAUCCGUCAUGAUAUCUGCAAGCACUACUUGAGGAUAAAUUCACAGGACAAAUUCGAAAAGUUCAAACACCUACUUCGAAUUGUAGAUUAAGAGGGGAUGUUGAGAAUGAAUCUACAAUUCUCUAGACAAUUUCAUAAAAAUAUUUCAACUAUUCAAUUAAACUAAUUAAUAUGUUUUGAUAACAAAACAAAAUAAAAAUAAUCCUAACCACAUACUAAACCUACCAAGUAUGCUAAUAUUUUUCUAAGUAGAUUAUAGUAGUCUAUAAAUAUGAAGUUUCAUUUUAGAUAAGUGUGAAGUGUAGAGAAACAAAAUAAAUAAAAAAGAAGUAGAGAGUGUUCGGUGAGGAGUUUAAAAAGUCCAAGUGACCAAAUUGUAAUAUCCAUAAAAUUGAGUGAUUAAUUAAAUGAGUUAUCAAAAUACUAUCUUUUCGAUUAUAAAUUUCACUAUAUUUCCGCUAACGCCCCAACAAGGGCGGGUGCUUAAAUGAAGAAGGAAGAUAAUGGAGUUGUUGCUGUAAUGAAACCCUUUCCAUAAGAAAGAAAACUAAAAAUUCCUAUUUUAAAAAUUAUUUGGGCGGAAGAUGAGUCACGGUAGGUUGCUCCAAUUACGCCAUGUUGCCCACUAAUCACUGGCGUUGAUUUAGCUGACUAAGUAAGUACUACUACAUUGCCUGUUUUAGGCACACGUUUUGGAUCAUAUGACCUAAUAUUACAACUAAUAUUACAGCUUGGAUCAAGAGAAUAAAUUGUGUGCGGUUGAAAGGUAUUUUUACUUUUAUAGAAUUUUUUCUUGUUUUUUCUUGUUACUGAGAGGGGGCCUGUUCUUUGUUUGUGGCACUCAGGACAAUGUGGAGGGAGGAUUGACUGUGUUCUGCCCUAUGGACGAUGCAUUCAAGGCCUUCUUGCCACGAUUCAAGAACCUAACCGCUGCAGGCAAAGUCUCACUCCUUGAGUUCUUCGGGGUUCCUGUCUACAUGUCAAUGUCAAUGUUGAAAUCCAACAAUGGGGUCAUGAACACCCUCGCCACUGAUGGUGCCAAGAAGUUUGACUUCACUGUCCAAAAUGACGGAGAACAAGUGACGCUCAAGACCAAGAGCACUACAGCCAGGAUCACGGGGACCUUGAUGGAUGAGCAGCCCCUUGCAGUGUACACCAUUGAUAAGGUAUUGUUGCCUAAAGAGCUGUUCGAGGAUGCUCCUUCCCCUACCCCAGCACCAGCUCCUGCCCCUGACAAGGCUGCCGAUGCACCCAAAUCUAGUAAGUCAAAUGAUGAUGAUGGGUCACCAGCGGAGUCGCCAGCAGAUGGACCUGAUGCUGACUCAGACGAUCAAACGGCAGACGAUGAUAGUGCUACUGCUCUGAGGCUUGGUGGUAGGGAGAUUAUCGGAACGGUUUUUGGUUUGUGUGUAGGAGUAAUGUUGUUGUGAUUGCCCUUAGUUCAUUGUAAUCUAUGGACAAAAUAUAUUUUCUCGUUUUAUUUUUUUGUGGGGAGAAGAAAUUGGGGGAAUAAGUGAGGCUUGAGCUAGCGAGCCUAUUUAUUGCUCAUCUCUGGGGAGGGUAAGGCGCUGAUUUGUGUGUGUGCAGUGUGUUUUAGUAGCAUAUGCAGAUGGUAUACUAGUAAAAGCUUGGACUGUGGGAACUGUAUCAUACAGUGGCAUAGUCGGAUUUUCUCAGUAAUAUGAAACCUAUUUGGUGCAAAUUGUAUUUACAUGAUUCUAUCUUGCAAAACCCAAAACCCUGAUGCGACUUCAUCGUUCAUCCUACCUGUACCGACAUUGAACUAAAAAUCCACCGACAAGUCUCGAGCAAGAUGGUACACUGUUGUGUUACCUGGGAAAGGGCCGACAAGGGUCAAGACAUCAAGACAUGUGUCAUUUAAGCCCACCGAAUGGCAAUGUCCAUCACUAGUUCAAAAUAUACACAAGGUAGACAAUAUUAUCAAUUCAUAUUCCAUUUCAAUUACCAAAAUGGAUGCUUUACUUGCUCACAAGAAAAAAAAAGAGGAUGCUGUACUUACUAAAAGAAAAGGAUGGUUUAUUAAUUAUUACAGCCAACAACAGUAAAGAAACCAAGAGGAGAAAGAAACAUCAAAAUUUUACCAUACUACUACAACAUGAUGUAUCCCACGUACGCAUAGAAGAAGAAAAAUAGAAAUAAGUAGUGCCACUAUCUAGGAACAGUUCACAUAGAUACCAUCCGAAAGGAUUUAUUACAGAUUCAUUCGUAUCUACAUAUAUAUAUAUGUAUAUAUUUAACUCAGGAAAGAGCAGAAAGUAGAGCAGAGUAACAAUAACACCAUAAUAACAACAUAAAUGAAACGGGGAGGUGACAAGAGAGUGGCAGAGUAGUUUCCAACAGGCUGCUGGUACCCGUAUCCAGAGGGAGGAGUAACAGGCUGAGGCUGGUAUCCCCCAAAUCCCCCCAUGGGAGGGGUAUAUUGACAGCACUGCACAGGAAUCGUGGUGCAGUUUGAUGGCGGAGGGGGAGGCACUACAUCUGAAGGAUAAGGGAGUGUUCCUGGCGGCGGGGGUGGAACUCCUCCUAUUGGGUAGUCUGGGAUUGCUGGGGGAGGCGGUGGAGUUGCAGCAGUAGGGUGACAUAAAUAUGGGCAAAUUGUGCAGUUCAUGCAACCUGGAGGUACAACAUCCCAGGCGGCUUUCCUUGUCGCUUCACAUUUCAGGUUACAGACCACCACCACUACUGCUACUAUUACUGCAACAACUAGGCCAUGAUGAUUAACCAUAUUUCUGCCUGCCCACCACAAACCCCACUUCAUUCAAAUUACAGAAAAGAAGAAGUGGGCACUGAAAUUGUUGGUGGGUGGAAUAUCAAGUGCCUGACACAAUUCAAAGAGAUACAAGGAGUAAAUUAAAGAAGAAGAAGAAGAAGAAGAAGAAGAAGAAGGUGUCGUAGUGUACCUCGGUUCAAGACCAGUCACCAGAAGCUCGGUAGUUGGGACUUUUCAUCUUCAUCUCC
rnacentral:lncRNA from 1 species